CAAUAAAUUAGGUAUUGAUGGGACGUAUCUCAAAAUAAUAAGAGCUAUCUAUGACAAACCCACAGCCAAUAUCAUACUGAAUGGGCAAAAACUGGAAGCAUUCCCUUUGAAAACUGGCACAAGACAGGGAUGCCCUCUCUCACCACUCCUAUUCGACAUAGUGUUGGAAGUUCUGGCCAGGGCAAUUAGUCAGGUAAAGGAAAUAAAGGGUAUUCAAUUAGGAAAAGAGGAAGUCAAAUCGUCCCUGUUUGCAGAUGACGUGAUAGUAUAUCUAGAAAACCCCACUGUCUCAGCCCAAAAUCUCCUUAAGCUGAUCAGCAACUUCAGCAAAGUCUCAGGAUACAAAAUCAAUGUACAAAAAUCACAAGCAUUCUUACACACCAAUAACAGACAAACAGACAGCCAAAUCAUGAGUGAAUUCCCAUUCACAAUUGCUUCAAAGAGAAUAAAAUACCUAGGAAUCCAACUUACAAGGGAUGUGAAGGACCUCUUCAAGGAGAACUACAAACCAUUGCUCAAUGAAAUAUAAGAGGAUACAAACAAAUGGAAGAAAGUUCCAUGCUCAUGCGUAGGAAGAAUAAAUAUCGUGAAAAUGGCCAUACGGCCCAAGGUAAUUUAUAGAUUCAAUGCCAUCCCCAUCAAGCUACCAAUGACUUUCUUCACAGAAUUGGAAAAAACUACUUUAAAGUUCAUAUGGAACCAAAAAAGAGCCCGCAUUGCCAAGUCAAUCCUAAGCCAAAAGAACACAGCUGGAGGCAUCACGCUACCUGACUUCAAACUAUACUACAAGGCUACAGUAACCAAAACAGCAUGGUACUGGUACCAAAACAGAGAUAUAGAACAAUGGAACAGAACAGAGCCCUCAGAAAUAAUGCUGCAUAUCUACUACUAUCUGAUCUUUGACAAACCUGAGAAAAACAAGCAAUGGGGAAAGGAUUCCCUAUUCAAUAAAUGGUGCUAGGAAAACUGGCUAGCCAUAUGUAGAAAGCUGAAACUGGAUCCCUUCCUUACACCUUACACAAAAAUUAAUUCAAGAUGGAUUAAAGACUUAAAUGUUAGACCUAAAACAAUCAAAACCCUAGAAGAAAACCUAGGCAUUACCAUUCAGGACAUAGGCAUGGGCAAGGACUUCAUGUCUAAAACACCAAAAGCAAUGGCAACAAAAGCCAAAAUUGACAAAUGGGAUCUAAUUAAACUAAAGAGCUUCUGCACAGCAAAAGAAACUACCAUCAGAGUGAACAGGCAACCUACAGAAUGGGAGAAAAUUUUUGCAACCUACUCAUCUGACAAAAGGCUAAUAUCCAGAAUCUACAAUGAACUCUAACAAAUUUACAAGAAAAAAACAAACAACCCCAUCAAAAAGUGGGUGAAGGACAUGAACAGACACUUCUCAAAAGAAGACAUUUAUGCAGCCAACAGACACAUGAAAAAGUGCUCACCAUCAUUGGCCAUCAGAGAAAUGCAAAUCAAAACCACACUGAGAUACCAUCUCACACCAGUUAGAAUGGCAAUCAUUAAAAAGUUAGGAAACAAUAGGUGCUGGAGAGGAUGUGGAGAAAUAGGAACACUUUUACACUGUUGGUGGGACUGUAAACUAUUUCAACCACUGUGGAAGUCAGUGUGGUGAUUCCUCAGGGAUCUAGAACUAGAAAUACCAUUUGACCCAGCCAUCCCAUUACUGGGUAUAUACCCAAAGGAUUAUAAAUCAUGCUGCUAUAAAGACACAUGCGCACGUAUGUUUAUUGAGGCACUAUUCACAAUAGCAAAGACUUGGAACCAAGCCAAAUGUCCAACAGUGAUAGACUGGAUUAAGAAAAUGUGGCACAUAUACACCAUGGAAUACUAUGCAGCCAUAAAAAAUGAUGAGUUCAUGUCCUUUGUAGGGACAUGGAUGAAAUUAGAAAUCAUCAUUCUCAGUAAACUAUCGCAAGGACAAAAAACCAAACACCGCAUGUUCUCACUCAUAGGUGGGAAUUGAACAAUGAGAUCACACGGACACAGGAAGGGGAACAUCACACUCUGGGGACUGUUGUGGGGUGGGGGGAGGUGGGGGAUAGCAUUAGGAGAUAUACCUAAUGCUAAAUGAUGAGUUAAUGGGUGCAGCACACCAGCAUGGCACAUGUAUACAUAUGUAACUAACCUGCACAUUGUGCACAUGUACCCUAAAACUUAAAGUAUAAUAAUAAAAUUUUAAAAAAUUAAAAAAUAAAAAAAAUUUGGUAUUUAAAAAAUAAAAAAUAAAAAGAUAAAAAAUAAAUAAAUAAAAAUUUUCCCUGCUUUUCCUGAGCUGUAGAAUUUUUAUUUUUAUCACUUGAGAACUUUUAAUAAGAAAUUUUGGAAAUAACUGAUUAGGCCCAAGCAUAGGAGGAGGACACAAUAGUGAUAUUUACUUAAUGCCUUCCCUGUGCCUGGCACUGUGCUGGACUUUGGGAAUACAGCAGAAAUCAAGGACUCUGGCCUCAUAAGCAGCACAGAUAGAGAAGCAAUCACAAACGCAGGCCAAUUGUGUUCUAGGGGAAACCGAGGAUUAGAAAGUCAGAUGCUUUCAUUCUGGUAUCUGCUUGCUGUAAAGCCAGUUGGUGACAGACACUUGGCAGAAUUGUUUGCCCUUUGGGACCUCUAUUUUCUAAUCAACGAGGGUAAGUUAGAUGAUCUCCAAAUCCCCCUCCAGCACUGCCAGUUGUUGAGUCUCAGAUUCUCUUCCUGGGUUCUUCAAGAGUAAGCUAUGUAAGUAAACACAUGCUAGAGUAUAGCUGUCAAAUAUAGUGAAUAUCAGAAAAACCUGGGAGCCUGUUAAAAACAAAAACCUCCAGACCCAUAACCAGAGAGCUGGAUCCAGAAGCUCUGGGAUGGGGCCAAAAAUCUGCAUUUUUAAUAAGUCUCGCAAGAGAUUCCGAUGCACCAAUUCUGGUUUGAAACCCUAGUAUUCAAAGCAAUGGCAGCACAAGGGACCUUAUCAGAAAUGCAGAGCUGGGGCCCUGUCCCAGAUCCACUGAAUCAGAAUCUACAUUUUACUUUCUUUCUGUAUGGAUGCUAAGUUGGUAGUGUAUGUGCCCAGGGAUGCUGGGGACCCUCUAUGGGGACGAUGCUUAUGUACACUGAAAUAUCCUUAGAAAGGGUCCAACCUGGUUAAUCUCAAUACCAUGAUCAACACUGAUACCAAAGAAACCACACUACCCCUUAUCUAUUAGUCAUUAGUUUAGCUUUUCUGAUGGGAGGCUUUCCGAACCAGGAGAAAUGUACAACUGCUCCUCUUGAAAGCAUGGCCUGGAACAGUGUUUUUCGAAUUACAUUUGGCAGAGCCUUAGGCUUCAGUCUUACAGGGCCACCUGGGGAUAGGGAUUGUGUGAGGCAGCCUGGACUGAGCUGGCCUCCAGGCUACAAACUCUAUUUCAAACAGAACUGCUCCUCUUUGAUCAGUUUUAGAAAUUGGGAUUACAGUUUGAUUCCCUUUGAAAAGAGAGUUUCGCUGCUUUAAUAUUUUUCUCAAUCAGCAUGGUGCUCCACAGGCUCCAUCAAUGCCAUUGGUACCUUUCCCAUACAAGCCAAGAGAUGGGCUUAGGGAAUGAACCUGAUUCCCUGUUCCUCUGUGCUUCCCUUGGGGACAGAGAUGUGACCUUCAAAAUGUCAAAACCCACUCCUGUUCCCAGGAGGACUGUUAAGUUACUCUCCCUAUUCUAUUUUAAUGUUCAAUGACCAAGGCAGACGCUAAUGUGGAAAAUUCUGAAUUUGUCUCAUUUACCAUUCCUAUGUUUGUCCUCUAACAAAAGUUCUGUGUAUCUUUUCUUAUAAACCAAAAAGUUCCCACCAGUCAUUGGAACUUUGAUAUUUAACAUAAAAAGCAGUAGUCUGGAUCUUUCUUUUUAGACCAAGUGUUUUGGGGAUAUCUUCAGUGAUUAGUAUUGCUUGGUGGUCUAGAUUUAGAGCCUCAGAAUUCACUUAAGUGAGAAAGUGCAAGAGACCCACUGGAAUCUUGGGAGUAGGAUCCAGGUAUCAGCACUUUAUUUCAAGGUCCCUAGAUGGUUCUAAUGUGUAAAUGAGGUUGAGAGCCAUUGCCCAGUAGACUAGAUUUGGAAGCACUAGAAAUUUAGUCCUGUAAGACACAUGCUCACCAGUCCUCCUUCUUCCUUUCUUGGUCCCCUCUCCUGUGUCAGGGGACCAUUUAUUCAUUCACUCACUCAUACAUUCAUUCACUCACUCAUACAUUCACUCACUCAUACAUUCACUCACUAAACAGUUACUCAAUAGACAUCUGCUAUGUACUAAUUUGGGACUAGAAAUUAGAAAUUCACAAGUCUUGUCCUUGUAGAACUAGCAAUACUACAAACAAAAUGAUAAUUUUUAAAAAGGUUUUAGGUAUAAAUAUGUAGCUAUAAAGAAGGCAAAAUAGGGUGUCAGUAUAGUAUGUAGACAUAGCCUCUCUAAGAAGGUGAUAUCCGGGUUUGGGGAUGACACCCUAAUUCUAAGACAGGAGGAGCUACAGGAAGAUCUGGGGGAGCAAAAUCUUAAACAGUAAGAGUAAUAAGUGCAAAUGUCCCCAAACAGGAAUGAGCCUUGUAAAUUCAAAAGACACAUAGAAAGGUCAGGGUGGCUGUAGCAAAGGGAAUGAGUGAGGAGUAAAGCACAGAAGGAAGUGACAUCCUGUGGUAGCUGAGAACCAGUUUGCAUAGGUCUUUGCAGACCAUAAAAAAGAUAGUGGAAGAGAUAAUAUCUUAUAUAACUUUAACAGUGGGAAAAUAUCUACUCAAAGACCGUACCAGUCACAUGAAUCAUGGCCUAUAUUCUAAUGCAAUGGUUUUCAGUUACAUUUUACUUGAGUUUUUGGAGGGGGAGGAGCAGAGUUGGUACUGUUCUUGGGGACACACACGAGAAUUGCCUGAAAGAGUUCUUUCAAGUUCUAUGGCAUGCAUCACCCAUCUUCCCCACAGAUGUGAUUUUUUUUUCACACUGCCCUAAUGGUGGGACCCCUACCCAUAUUGAGCAACUACUUCUCACAGGAGUGGGAUAUAUCCAGUGGCAUCUAAAACCAACCAUAUUCAUGCUUAGGAUUUUCAUUCACCCUAAACUGCAGUCCAGUUCAUUCACUCUAAGCUUUAGACAUCUGUACUCUCUCAAUCUCUCUACCAGGAGGUCCCACAGCACCUCAAACACAACAAGACCAAAAUUCAACUUAUCUUUAUCCAUAAAAUGGCUGAUUUCUCCUCCUAUAAUCUUUUAUGUCGGUAUCAAUAUGACUCCAAAUUAGCACGUAGUGGAUGUUCACUAAAUAACUGUCACAUGAACAAAUGAAUCAGCUUCUGGACCGAGAGAGAGGAGACUAAGAUAGGAAGGAGGAGGGCUGGUGAGCAUAUGUCUUACAGGACUGCAUUUUCAGUGCUCCCAAAUCUAGUCUGCUGGGCAUUGGCCCUCAACCUCAGCAGCACAUUCGAAUCAUCUAGGGACCUUGAAAUAAAUAUUGAUGCCUGGAUCCCACUCCCAGAGAUUCCCGUGUAAUUUGUUGGGGUGUGGCCAAGGCAUCAUGAGUUUUCAGAGCUCUCCAGGUGAUUAUCAUGUGCAUCCCAAUUGAGACCCACUUAUUAGUUGUUACUAAACCUGAAGUGAUUUUUCCUGGGACCCUCGCAUCUUCUUUCUUAAUUGAAUUCAGUGACACCCUAAAUCUAGAGCUACCAAACAUUGCUAGUCACUAAAGAUAGCCCUAAAAUGCUUGGACUAAAGAAAGAUCCAGAUUGUUGAUAUUACCUUAAGUAUCAAAAUCCCCAUUGACUGAUGGGAGCACUUUGAUUUAUAAGAAAAGGCACAUGGGGCUUAGGAGAACAACUAGCAUGGUAUAUGAACUCUCCCUUACCGCCUCCCUCACACUUUCCAAAUUUUCAUAGAAGUCUCCCUCACUACAUUCAGUCUUAGAAUAGGAACAUAGUUUAUUUUUAUAAAAUCAAUCAAAUUCACCAAAUAUUCCCUCCUUUGCUGUCAUUAUUGUCAUUUUUAUCUUAGCAGGCUGCAAAUAUCCUAUGAGCACAAACCAAUACUGCUUUUAUAUCUGUUAAAAGAAGGAUCAAAAUUACUGCACCAUGCCUGCUAAACACCUGCAGGCUUUGGAAUCACAUAGGCUGGAGUUCAAAUCUCAGCUCUAUUAUAAUUUAAUUGGACUGGAGGAAAUCACUUAAUCUCUGUUUCCUCAUCUGUAAAAUAAGCAUAAUGAUAGCCCUAUCUCACAGAGAUUUAGUGAAAAUGAAAUAACAUAUAUUCUUCUUUUCUACUGAGGCAUAAAAAUUACCAGCCAGGUGGGGUGACUCACGCCUGUAAUCCCAGCACUUUGGGAGGCCAAGGUGGGCGGAUCACGAGGUCAGGAGAUCGACACCAUCUUGGCUAACACCGUGAAACCCCGUCUCUACUAAAAAUACAAAAAAAUUAGCCGGGUGUGGUGGCGGGCGCCUGUAGUCCCAGCUGCUGGGGAGGCUGAGGCAGAAGAAUUGUGUGAACCUCGGAAGUAGAGCUUGCAGUGAGCUGAGAUUGCGCCACUGCACUCCAGCCUGGGUGACAGAACGAGACUCCGUCUCAAAAAAAAAAAACAAACAAAAAAAAAACAGAACACACAAAACCUCUGCUCCUCAAACGCUCAGGGAAACUGAUUUGAGUAAUAAUAAAACUCUGGGCAGAACAUGUGGCUCAUGCCUGUAAUCCCAGCACUUUGGGAGGCCGAGGUGGGUGGAUCACGAGGUCAGGGGAUCAACACCAUCGUGGCUAACAUGGUGAAACCCCGUCUCUACUAAAAAUUCAAAAAAUUAGCCAGGCGUGGUGGCAUGUACCUGUAGUCCCAGCUACUCGGGAGACUGAGGUGGGAGAAUAGCUUGAACCCGGGAGGCGGAGCUUGCAGUAAGCCGAGAUCACGCCACUGCAGUCCAACCUGGGCGACAGAGACAACGUCUCAAAAAAAAAAAAAAUUACCCCAAUAUUUACUGGCUUAAAACAAUUGAUGUUGUAUGGGCGACAGAGUGAGACAACAUCUCAAAAAAAAAAAAUUACCCCAAUAUUUAGUGGCUCAAAACAAUUAAUCUUGUAUGGUUCUUGGAGUUGAUAGGCUCGGCUAGGUAGUUCUCCCUUAGAGUCGUUUACAUGGUUGCAGGCAGUGGGCAUUUAAGCCUGGAUCACCUGAUGGCUUCUUCACUCAUAUGUCUGGUGUCUGGGCUGGGAUGGCUAGAAUACCUGAUGGUGUCUAGCUAGGUUUCUGUAUUCUCUUGUGGCUACCUUGGGCUUCCUCACAGCAUGGUGGGCUCAAGGUUGCUGACUUCUCAUAUGGCAGCUGGCUUUUCUCUGAGUGAAUGUUCCAAGAGACAGGAAGUGAAGGUGCUAGUCUAUUAAGCCCUGGAAACAGUCACAGCAUCGCUUCCUCCAUAUCCUCCUGCUCACUGCUGUUACAGUGCUCAACUGGCUCCAAAGGGAAAGGUCAGAGACUUACCUCUCAAUGACAGAAAUGUUGAUAAAUUUCUGGCCAUGUUUUGUCCACCACAAUGUAUAAAGCCUAUGGUGCAAUGUCUGGCACAUCUUAAGUUAUAGUAUUUCAAACAGAAUAUAUUAUAAUAGUAACUAAAUAUUAUCCUAAUCACCUUAUACUAAUGUCCCUUAAUAUUUUUAUAAACAUAAUGGAAUACAGUAUCAGCAACUGUGGGGAGGAGGGGACAGGAAAGAGUGAUGGUUAUAAUCAUUGAAAAGAAACAUUUACCUCCUUGUCUGAGGCACUGAGUCACCCUCAAUUUGUUGGGCACCAUGGGACUGUAGGAAGUUGCUGUCAUAAUCCUUCCAAUGCAAUCAUUGCGAGGUCACAUAGAGGAAAGGGCAGCCAGGGAGACUCAUCUCAUUGCCAGUGCAGGAUGUGCUGAGUGCCUUUGUGUAAAAGGUGGCACCAUCAACAGGGAACAGGAUGUGCCAAUGUGACAGUGACUCACUGAAUGAAAUCAUGGCUUCUAAGGUUCUGAUGCCUGCCAGGCUGGGAGGAAUGAGAUUGGCCCAAUGUCCUAUCGCCUCCAUGGAGAAAUCAAGGAAGUUUAGUCUCAGGACAUAUAUUCGGAAAGGAGAGAACUUGCUGUUUCAACUACUUUCAUCAUAUAGGAGUAUUGUAUUAGUCCCUUUUCACGCUGCUGUGAAGAACUGCCUGAAACUGGGCAAUUUAUAAUGGAAUGAGGCUUAAUUGACUAACAGUUCUGCAUGGCUGGUGAGGUCUCAGGGAAUUUGCAAUAAUGGCAGAAGGGGAAGCAAACAUGUCCUUCUUCACAUGGCAGCAGAAGAUAGAAGUGCAGAGUGAAGUGGGGGAAAAUCCUUUAUAAAAUUAUCAGAUCUCCUGAGAAUUCACUAUCAUAAGAACAGCAGGUGGGAACCACCCCAAGAUCUAAUCAACUCCCACAAAGUCCUUCCCCCAACAAGUGGGGAUUGCAAUUCAGAUCACAAUUCAAGAUGGGAUUUGGGUGGGGACACAGAGCCAGACCAUAUCAAGUAUCAUACCGGAUUCUUUUUAGGGCAAAGAUGAUUUACUAUUUUUCUUGAAAUGUAUUGUGAUAAAAAAAAUCAAAAUGAGCCAAGCUAAGCAAGUAAUAUAUUAGGCUUAAAGAUAAUUCUUUGUGAUGACCAAGUUGGGUUUGUCCCAAGUAUGUAAGGUUAAUAGACAUUAGAAAAGCUAAUUGCUAUAAUUCACCACAUUAAUAUAUUGUAAUAGUCUCUAAAGGUGACCUUUGGCAUCACAUCCCUAUGAAAUUCCUCACUCACUGAAUAUGGGCUGGCCUGUGACUUCUAUAACCAAUUGAACAUGGCAGAAGAGAAGCUGUGCCUAUUCCAGAAACAUGCCUCAGGAAGGCUUGGCAGUGUUACUUUUGCACUUUGGUAUCCCUUAGCCACCAUGUAAGAAGUUCACCUAUCCAGCUGGGAAGACCUUGUAGAGACCACGUAGAGAGAAUGAGGUCUGAGACUACAUGGAAAGGACAGCCUCAGUCAUUUCAUUAUACCAGCUAUAUUGAGACUUCUAGCCAUCCCUACCAAGGCACCAGACAUGUAAUGGGCCAUCUUGGACAGUCCCACAUCCAAAUUAAACUUCCAGAUGUUUGCAGCCCUAGACAUUGUCUCACUACAAUGGCAAGAGAGCACCCAAACAAAAGCAAAAGAACCAUCUUGCUGACCCCUUUCACCCACAGAUUUGUGAAACAUAAUAAAAAUGGUAGUUAUUUCAAUCCACUUACUACUUGCAUAGUUUCUUGUAAAACAAUGGACAACGAUAACAUAUUAAAAGAAAAAAAUGUAUAAGGUUAUCUUUAAGCUUACAGAGAACACAUUUGGAAAAAAAAUCUACAUUUAUUCAUGAUUUUAAAAAAUUCUGAAGCAAAACUUGGGAUCAGAGAGUUAAUUUCCUUCAUCUGAUAAAAGGUAUCUAAAAAAAUCCACAACACCCCAUUAUAAGGGAUAGCAAAUCCCCAUUUUGAGAUCAAGAUAAAGACAAAAAUGCCCACUAUUACCACUUUUUAUCAGAAUUAUACUGCAGGUUCCAGUCGCUGCCGUGAGGCAAAGAAAAGAAAAAGCAUAAAGAUUAGAAAGGAAAAACCAGAAUUGUCUUAUUAAAAUGAUACUAUUUUAUAUGUAUGAAAUCCCAAAGAAACUUCAGAUAUAUUAUUUUGAUUAAGAGAUAAAAUCUGGAUAGAAAAUCAAUACACAAGAAUCAAUUAUAGUACUAUAUACUAGAAACCAGAAGAUAAACAAUUAAAAAGACAGCAUUCAUAAUGGCAUCAAAAAUAUGUGAGAAUAAGUCUAACAAAAGAGUUGCAAGACUUGAGUAAAAUUAUAAAAUGUUAUUAAUAGGUAUUAAAGAAUACCUAGAUAAAUGAUCAUAGAUUGGGAGCCUCGAUAUUGUAAAUAUAUAAAUUGUCCUCUGAUGAAAUCACAACGAAAUUCCCCAAUUUUUUUGCACACAACAAGCUGAUUCUAAAAUGUAUAUGGAGUUUCAAAGGAUAAAUAAGAGACAAGAACACUAUGAGGGGACAUACCCUACCAGGUAUCAAGAGUGACUAUUAAGUUAGAAGUAACUGCAGUCAGAGAUAGGCCAAAAUACCAGUGGAACGUUGCAAGUUCAGAAACAGACCUGUGUUACAGCCAUUUGCUGUAUGGCAGCGGUUACAUGGCAGUUUGGUAGGGAAAGUACAGACUUUAAUAAAUAUUGCCAGGAAAAUUGAGUAUUCAUGUAUUUUUUAAAAGAGAAAAAAAUCACACAUCUAUUUUACACAAUAUAAAAAAUGAUUUUCACACAUUUUUAUUUUUCAAAAGAUGAGAAAAAAGUUACACCUGUUUCACACAAUACACAAAAUAAUCCAACUAGUUUAGAAUAGAAGAGGAUAAUAGGAGAGGAUAAACUAUAGAACUUAGAAAAUAAUAUAGAGGAACAUUUUCAUGAGUGAAAAGUAGUAAAGAAUGUCUUAAAACACAACAAGUGUUGACUCUAAGGAAAAGAUUAUAGAGUUUACUACAUUUUUAAAAAACUGUUCAUCAGAAAGAUAACUAUUAAAAGAUUGAAAAGAUGAGCCAUCGAUUGGGAGAAGAUAUUUGAAACCUGUAUAACCAACAAAGGGCUCCUUUUGAGAAGAUAUGAAGAACUCUUCUAAAUCACAAGAGGGACAAUACAAUAGAAAAAUAUCUGCAAAAGACUCCAGUCUCUUCCUUUAUAAAAGAGGAAACUCAAACGACCAAUAAAUUCUGUGCAUGAAAAGGUGCUCAACCUUAUUAUGAAUCUGGAAUAUGUAUAUAAAAACAAAAAUGAAAUACUUUUGCUUAUCUAAUAUUGACAAAUCACUUUAAAUUGAAAAUACCAAAUGUUGAGAGAAUGUAAAAUAUUGGGAACCCUCAUACACAGCUGGUGUAAAUGGUACUUUUUUUGUUGUCUACUCAAGCUGAAGACAACUUAUCCUCAAUUAUUUCAAUCUUGGGUGUGUACUUUAGAAAAAUGGGUACACACAUGCCCUAGGAUUAUUGUAGCCUGUAAUUGUGCAAAUCUGGGAUACCCAUCCUGCAUAGAAUGGCAAAAUUAUGGCAUAUUCAUACAAUGGUAUGCUAUGCAAUAAUGAAAAUGAACAAGUUACAUAGAUAAGUUUAACAAACAUAUAUUGAACCAAAGAAGCCAGACACAAAAAUAUGAAUCCAUAUCCAUAAAAGUUCAAAAAUGAACAUUUUGGGGGAUUCAUUUAUAAGAGGUACAAUGAAAAAGGAAAUCACAAUGGUAGCCCCUCCAGAAGAACAGGAGGGAGUUUUGAAGGAGACAGGCUCAUGGACUGCUGGCCAUGAUCUUUUACGAGCUGGGAUUGGUAAUUAUAUUGGUAUUUAUUUUUAUAAUUAUUUCAACUAACUAUAAAAAUGUAUGUAUAUGUACUUUCCUGUGUGUUAUAUUUCAUAAUAAAUGAAGCAAAAAUAGUACAAAAUCAAGGAUGUGUACACAAAUAUUUUGUUAUAAAGUAUUAACUAUAACUAUGUUUAUUAUAGGGGGAAACCCCAUACUUUGAAUCACUACUUUGGAUUAUGUAAAAGAAGGGAUCAAAUACAUCACUGCACACAGAAGAGAGGUUAUACAGCCUCUAGAAAUUAUAGAAGAAUAUUUCAUGGCUUCUAAAGAUAAUUGAGAUAUAUAUUUAGGUGGGAGAUGAUGUUUAUCAUACAUUAUGCACAAAUAUUUCAAUGUUUUAAAACAAACUUUGAAUGCUAAUGCAUGAAAAAAGAUUGGGAGAAACACAUUAUAAUGUUAACUAUGAUUCUAUUUGGGUGGUGACUUUAUGAGCAAUUUUUGUUUUGUUUUGCUCAUUUGUAUAGUUUUAAUUCUGAGCAAUGAAUAUGGAUUACUUUUGAAGGAAAUAAAAGGAGACAAUAUAUUUUACUGGGAAACAAUAAUGAAAAAAGAGCCUAGAGAUCUCAAAAUGGAAAUAAGAAAUGUGGUAUUCGUUAACAUGUGUAUCUGGAAAACACCUGGAAUCCUACCAGCUCCGAUGAGCCCAUUUGAAUAUAACUUUUCCCUAACAGUGGCCACCCACUUGGUUCCCCUUUCCCAGCAGGCGUAGCUCUGAUAGUGAAAUCAAAUUCUGGCUGUCUGCUUUGGAAGUAAGUAGGGCAGUGGGGUGGGGGAAGGUGAAGGGAUCCUGUGAGAACAGCUUGCUCCAAACUGAAAGGAAGUGAAAAUCCUCCACAUGUUGCAGGGAUUGCUGGUAGAUCAUCCCCCAGUUCUCCUGCAUCUGUUCUGCUGCCUCUUAUAGAAACCAAGACAGGAAAAAUGAAAUGUACCUAACACAGGAAAUGAGGGUAGUCAUUUGAAUGAUACAGUACCAGAACCCUGUAAAGUGUUUUGGGUGGGGUGGGCAGUGAAACAAAAGGCACCAAUCAUAGUGCUCAGAUCUGAUCUCACACUCGGAAAAAGUAGGUACGUGAAGACAACAAACGAUGGUGAGUGGAGAGGACUCCAGAAUCAGCACACACACAUUCCCAAUAGCCAGGUGGGUUCAACCGCUGCAUACCUGUUAGCUCCUCAGGGUGGAAUUUCCCAACUGCUGAGCCAUGGUAUGCUGGUUUUCCCUACGCUAUUGAUCCCCUCAGCCCUAGAGGUAAUGGUCUCACCUCUGGGCCAGCACUUCUGACAGCAGGCGCUUCAUAAAUUAGUAAAAUAGAGGAAUUCACAGAAUAUUUUUAUAGCAGGUAAAGAAAGUAAGAAAACAUUAAGUGGGAAAAAGAUGUUAAUAGCCAUUAGCAUGCAACUACUAUGAUUUUUAUUAUCCUUUUCCAUGUAAAAAGACAUAUAAAGAACUAGCAAGCAUUAGAACUACCAUAGGCAAUCCUCUCAUUAAAUAAAGUCCAAAAAAAAACCAAAAACAAAAACAAAAAACAAGGGCCAGGGGGUGGGAGUUGGAGAGGGGCUUAUAGGUCAAGGUACUAUUUUUCAGUGGAAGGCCCGUUACUGUUAAUAGGUGUGCUAUAAAAUAAAGAGGAGUCAGAUGAAUUUGGGGAAAACUAAGUUUUUAAAAAGGUAUAUGUCAUUUCAGGAAUUCCUAGGGCCUGUAACUGACAAAAAUAUAUUGCGACUUUCCACAAGUAGAAAUAGCAUAGAAUUAUUGCGCCAAAGCUUUUCGACCAUAGAAUAUCACCUGAGGAAUACGCUUUGCAAAUUGCUACAGUAAUCUCUCUCUCACUGCUGCACCCACGCUUCACUGAAUGUGUGAUGUAGAAUGGGUUUUGAUCCUCUCCCACCUGAUGAUAUGGUUGUCCCCACACUGGCUUUUUUCUUUUACUUAUGGCAAGCGAUCGGCCUGAUAAAGCUGAAACUACUAAUGGGCUAUUCAGGGGCUUUCAUCCACCUGAGUCCAAAGCAAAGCCUUUGCAAAAUGAUUUCCCGGAACUCAGAGGCAGUCUGUAGCUGGAGCAGUUAGCACUUCGCCAGAAAAUAGUUUGUCUUUGUUUUCAGUGUAUUUUUCUUUUCUCAGAAGAAAGAAAACAAAUAGUCUCAAGUAAAUGAAUAGAGGAACAUGCAGAAUUCUCUUUAAAAUGGCAGCUUCAUGACUUUGCCAAAUAAAUGAAGAUAUAUUUUAGACAUGUAUACUCGCUUUACAUCUAACUGUGAUUUCUUGUUACUUUGCUGAUUUUCUUUGAAAAUGGAAUAUAAAUAUUCAGUAACAGGGAUUGUUCUGUUGAUGAAGUCUAGUUAAGUUGUAAUAAGAACUAAAUUGAUUCAGAACAUAGGGCUAAGAAUCAUGUAGCCUCUUAAUCUCACUUUUUCUAAGCUUCCAGGUAGCCCUUUAUUUUGCAGUAAUGGAAACUCCAGCCAUCUGAGCAGAAUUCAUAUGAAGUCUACAUGCCAAAAGAAAUAGAAUUUUGCAUUUAUUUUCUGUUUCUACUUCCACUUGGAAAGUAUCUUUUUCCCCCUAGAAACACAUUUAAAAGGGUAUAAAAGGGGCUUUCUGUUUGGGGCCAGAACCAGAAAAGGAAAGACAAUGGAGAAAAAAAAUAUUAGCUCAGCUUUUCCAGACUUGAAAUAAUGUGUGAUUUUUGCAGUUUCUCCAACUUUUGAGACUAGGUCUGGUAGAAUGCUUAAUUCUUUCAGCUGGCGAAUCACCUUUCCUCUAUGGGGAUAUUAAUGCCCAGUUAAAAUUUCUCCAUCCGAAUAAGGAAAAAAACAUUUGAAUACAGCAGAGCUGGGACUAGAUUGAUAAAUAAAAUCAUUCUGUCCCUAUCCCAUUAAUUCUCCCUUUCACCGUUUGGAGGUCCUGUGGGCUGAAGCAGUACAUCAUUUAAAUAGUACCUUCAGGUGUUUCACUGAGACCUAAUUAAAAUGGAUGUUGUCAUCUGGUGUUUCCUUGUGCAAUGUGUCUAGCUCCAUGCAAAUUGCAAAACAGAGCUCUUGAUUAGGACUUUGUCCUUCUUCAAGAAACUGCCCAAGAUUUCCUUUAGGUGCUCCAGAAAACGAUUUGGCCAGUUGGGAAAAAAAACUUAAGAGUCACUACGUUCACUGAUUUCCUUGGCAAGAUAGCCAAGUGGUCCCUUUGAAUGGAUCAGCUGUGACAAGUAAGGCAGUAUCCCCCAAGACUUUCCAUUCCAUAAUUGAAUUUAAAAAAAAAAUUCUUAUGAUUAUUUGUUCUCACAAAAUAUAUGUAUCAGUCUCAUACUAUGAACCUUGGAAAUAAGGCUAUGUAUAGGCAACAAGACCCCAUCCUUUGGUGGAGCUCAGACUAGCAGGAAGACAGACAUCAACUAGUAAUUAACAAUAACACAUAAUGAAGGCAUCAGGAAGAAGGAACUGGCGCUGUGUAUUUAACGUAGGGGUCAGGAAGGCCACUUCCCUGGGGAAAGGAAAUCAAGACACCUCCAGAAGGAUACUGAGUGGAGAUGAGGCUGGAGAGGGUACCACCCUCUCCAGAUAUGUGCUGUAUAUCAUCGGAAUAACAGAGCUAGACAUUUGCUUUCUAUCCUUCAUGCUUUUGUUCAAGUUUUGCCUUUAGAUUUACAAACUAAAGACCAAUUUCUCCUCAUAGAAGACUAUUAAUAAGUUUGUAGCUAUGGUCCUUUCUUUUGUGUUUCUUUAGAAAACAAUGAUUUAAAAAUAAAAGCUACCAUUUAUUAAAUGUUCACAUUGUGUGAAGCCCAUUGAAUUCUCACAAAUGUUUUCAUUUCAUCAACUUUUGAGAGAAACUGGAGUUCAGAAGUUUUACUCAACUAGGCAGUGGCCUAGCUAGGAAUCAAGGCCAGAUCUGAGACAUUUAAGUGUCCAAUUUUUACCAGUUUACUGGGGUUUUCUUCAAUGUUCACAUCUACAAACCACUUCAUCAAAACGAUGAGGGGAGUGUUUGUUAAAAAGACAGAGUUCCAGCCCCGCUCCGUGCAACACCCCACCCCCCACCCCCUGCAGCUGUUUUGAGUCUGAAUCUCUGAGGCUGUGGACUGGGAAUUUGCAGUUCAACAAGUUCCCCAGGUGCUUCCCAUGCAUUUGAGAAUCAGCGCACUCCACACAGCUAUGCACUUGUAAGACCGGGGUGUGGAGAGACAGACCAGUGCCAAGGCAGUUUACUGUACUCUUGUCCACGAUCUUGGAUUGUUCUCUUGGCCAUUUGAUGAAAUACUACAAUGCAGAAUGGUUAUGAUUUUCAAACUGCAAAUAGUUUAGCCCCACAUUUUGGCAAGAUAUCGAGGCAGGGCUCACAGAAGAGCUGCUUAUUCAGACUUCAGCCAAGCUGUGAAAAGUGAGGCCUUUUGAGAGGAAGUGAGAUAAGACAAAAACUUAAAAAAACAAACAUUCUGAGGCCGGUGUUUAAAAGGCCAUUGGCAAAAUCUAUAGCCUAACUAGAAGUGAGCUAAACAAACACAUUACUGGGCCAUCCAGGAAACAUGAAGCAGAUGCCUGGAAGUGGGAUGUGUGUUUUCAACCGGGGUAGAAAUAUCCCGGGGAGUGAUGAUAUGGAAUCGGACACAAAGUUCAGAUCAAAACAACAAGGGAGAUUUGCAACGGGCAGUGCACCCAGGAUGGACAGGAGAUGUUCCAGUCAAGUGGUUCAGAGCAAGUUCAGGAUAGGAGGGAGACCUGUGUCCAAUUUCACUUAAACUUAUAUGCCUUCAUUUGUGCCUCCUCGUGGAAUUAUCUCAUGGCCGCUAUUUGAAAAAGGAAUGGCAGUGGAGACCUGGUGGCUAGGGCCAAAGCUUCAUAGCUUUUCAAAAACAAAAAAAUUGUGGUGCUGCCUACUCUUUCCCGUUACAUAAUAUAAGAUAAAAACAAUACCGAUUCAGCAACAUUCCAAGUUUUCCUCUGAGACUCAUUCAAUGCUUUUUUAGAAAUGCAAACUAUCAAUUUCUUGAAGAAAAAAAAAAAGGAUUUUGUGUGCUUGGCUAGUACCCUCCACACAAGAUUAAUUCAGUGAGAUAGUGUUCAGUAAAGUGCUUAGCAAACUCCCUGGCACAGAGGAGGCACUCAUGCAUUGCUAGUUAUUAUUAUUUUUAAUAAUAGCAACAUAUGUUGGCAAUUAAAUUUACUGUGGUUUCCUUCCCUUUAAAAGGACGCUAAAGCUCCCCUUCUAUGGAUGCAUUUUUGCUCGUGUUCUACUAUUUGGUAUUGUUUGAACCUGGCUCUGCAGUAGUGGAAGUUGUCCUUAACUUUCCAUAUAGGCCUCUGUCCUCAAAUUCAGAUUCGAAUUCUCUGGUACAGUUUCCUACAGAGCUCUUUCUUUCCCACAUUUCCCUGUUGCAUCAUGACAUUUAAUUAGUUAUCAUUUUUGCUUGCUUUUAAUUAAAGAAACACUGUGCUCCUCUUGGAAUCAUUCACUGAAUGCCAUCUGAACUCUUGACAUUUAUUUAGAAACUUGUAUUUUACGGGGUUUUUGUAACAUGAAUAUUUGAUGAUUUGAGUAAUUCAAGGCCCUCUGUAAACAGAAGCUCAUACCUCUUCUUUCCAAGUAGAAACCACACUGAAGGACCUGCAAUAACGUAGAACUUCCUAUCAUCCCUGAUGAUGCACCAGCCUUUCCGACUCCAUUAUCUAGAGCUGUGGUUCUCGAUCAGAGGCAGCUUUGUCUCUCAGGGGACAUACACAAUGUUUGAUUUCCACGAUUGGGAGGUAGAGGUAGGUAGAAGCCAGGGAUGCUGCUAAACCUCCAAAAAUGCACAGGAUAGUGUCUCACAACAAAAUUAUCUUAACCAAAAUGUCAAUGGUGAUAGUAAUGAAGUUGAGAAACUCAUGUCUGAAUUGCCUCUUAACCUCAUGAUCAAAUAUGUCUGUUUCUUGGGAUUGUAAGCAUGCUAAAAGAAAAAGCUGGCUAGGUGUGUUGGCUCACGCCUGUAAUCCCAGCACUUUGGGAGGCCAAAAUAGGUGGAUCGCUUGAUCCCAGGAGUUCAAGACCAGCCUUGGAAACAUGGCAAAAUCACGUCUCUAUUAAAAAUACAAAAAAUUAGCUAGGCCUGGUGGCAUGCACCUGUGGUCCCAGCUACUUGGGAGGCUGAGGCAGGAGGAUUUCUUGAGUCUGGGAGGCAGAGGUUGUGGUGAGCUGAGAUCAUGCCACUACACUCCAGCCUGGGCAAUAGAGACUCUGUCUCAAAAAAAAAAAAAAAAAAAAAAGGAGCUAAAAAAUUAAUUUAGAUUUUAACAGGGUACACCAAUAGCUUUCUAAAGCAAAGUGCUAUCUACUUUGUAAAAUCAAAUGUAAAACAUGGUCCAUUUACAAUACAAAUGAUAUCUUUUAUACAUAUAAGGUAUUUUAUAGCAUGCAAAAACAGUCACAUAUCACAUUAAAGAAUUAUACCUGGCAUCAUAACCAUUUUAUAGAAAGAAAAUUAUUUUUACCUAUUGCAUCCCUUGAAAUGGCUUUUCAACUUGUAACACCUUAAUUAUUGAGGAGUCACCCACAAAUCUGUCAUGUGUCAAGUAUUCUAGAAGGAAAUAAAGACAGGGUGUAGGCUACUCAUGUGUCUCUCACUGGUCAUGAGUGAAUGAGUGAAAUUUCCCAGGAGGAAAUGGAAUUUUAGGGACUGACUUGCAAGUAGUAAAUUAUAUGGUAUGUGUCACAAUUGUGCCACAUGCCUGAUUUAUAAACAUCCAUAUUUUUGAAGAGCAAAUAAUUAAUUAGAAGUGAUUUUCUUCCCUGAAUUACCUUGUUUUAUAGAAACUCAUACUGAGGGGGUGAUGGUCAUGAAAAUUCCCAGCCUCUGAUCUAUUCUUUGUAUGGCUUUUACUGUGCUGUGAUCCAUAGAGCAUAACUUGAAAAUUUAGUAAAGAAAAGAUCAGGGAAAUCAGAUGCUGAGCUGUUGUUCAGGUCCCCUUGGCAAACUAAAAAUAUAUGAAUAUAAAUGUGUCAAGUUCAUUAGACACUCAAAGGGCUCCCUUUGAUUCUGGAAAUGCCUUAAGGGCAGAAAUCACUGAGAGAGAAUCAGGCCAGAGACAAGCCUUCAGAAGAGUCUUUGCUGAAUGUGAAAUGAGUUCUUGUCUCAUUCAGGACUGGCAUUGAACACAUUACUUUUUGAACCCUGGCUUUAGGAGGAGGCAGGCUUGGGAUAAAAUGUCAGUUUGACCUCUUGCUAGUUAUUGGAAAUUGUUGAAGUUACAGAAUGAUGCUGCUCCCGCAUCUGCUAAGUAGAGAUGAUACUUCUUGGGGCAGCAAUGAAGAUUAAAGUUGUGAUGUAAUAGGCUUAGCAUGGAAUUUGAAAUCCUUCUCAAAGGGGUUGUGAAGUUCUGAUUUAUGGUCUUUCUUGCUGGUAUGAUCUCUUUUUGUGAUACUUCUUCAGUGAACAUAUAUAUUCACUCUUCCCUGAGACCAAUGCCACUGUCCUCAAUCAGACCCUUGACAAGUUUUACAAACCUCCUGUGAAUGUGAUCAAACCCUACCUGUACUUACAAGCCUUCAAAGACUCUCACUUUUCUAAAAGAGCAUCUUCCUUUGCCUGCCCCAUUCAAUGUUGGGGCUCCCUCUCUGUCACAUUCCCUGUUGCUGUACUUCAGCAACGAUAGUAUACAUCAGUGUUCAUAGCAGUCCUUUCACAACAGCCAAAAGGUGGAGACAACCCAAAUGUCCAUCAACAAGUGAAUGGAUAUACAAAAUGUGGUAUAUUCAUCCAAUGGAGUAUUGUUCAGCCUUAAAUGAAAUUGUACACACGCUACAGAAUGGAAGAACCUUGGAAAUAUUACGCCAAGGGAAACAAGCCAGCCACAAAAAAACUAAUAUUGCAGGAUUCCACUUAAAGGUGGUACUUAGAAUAGGCAAAUUCAUAGAGACGGAAAGUGGUUACCAGGAGCUGGGAUGGGAGGAAGGGGAAAGGGAGAGUUAUUACUAACGGGUACAGAGUUUCAGUUUGGGAUAAUGUAAGAAUUCUGGAGAUAGAUAGUGGUGAUGGUUGUAUAACUAUGCAAAUGUACUAUGCCACUGAACUGUACACUUAAAAAUGGUUAAAUAGUAAAUUUUUUGUAUAUUGUUCCACAGUAACUAUUUUUCAUUUUCUAAAAAAAAUUGUUUAAAAUUAUGCUUAAACAUAAUUUUAUUGAAUAUCAUAUACCAAAUAUUAAACUCAUUUAUAUAAGUUAAUGCUUACAUUAAUUAAUUUAAAAAUUUUUAAAACUCUUGGAAGUCAGUGAUAUUGUCAUUACCAGUAAGGAAACUGAGGCCUUUAGAGGUUAAAUAAGCCCAAGGUCACACAGCCAGGAAGUAGCAGAGCUGAAAUUGAAACCCAGGUAUCAAGUUCCAAAUUCUUAAUCACCAUGUUUACUCCUGUACCUAGUUUCUGUGUAUUGACAAUUGUCAUAUUUUGAAUCUCUAGCCCAGAUCUUCGAACAAUGAUGAGAAUAUUGAUGCUUGAUGAACAUUAUUUUGAGUCUCUUAAAAAAUUGGGAAGGAGUUCCUAUGAUCCUGAUUUAAAGACAAGAAAUAUGAAGCACAGGGAGGUUAAAUAACUUAUUCAAGUUCAUCCAUCCAUGGCAGAGCCAGGAUUUAAACCCAAGGCAGUUGAAUUUAAAGCUACAUCCUUAAUGUAACUGUCUCCAGUAGCACAUAAGUACCUUAUCAUAAGACAAAUUUUUUCCCCCACAUUUUUAAGUUUCUGAACUGCGGAUCCAUCUAACAAUGUAUUCCUAGUUCAGUGUUUUCUCUGCACUUUAGUUUGAUGAAUGGUAUCUGCAGAACUCAGGAAGUAAAGAAUGUAGCAGAUGCACAGGAUCAGUUUGUUAAAAUGUGAUCUGCCUUACGAUGACCAAAAACUAGCCCUUAGGUACAGAUCUAAAUAAAAGAAUCAGGAACUCGGGUGAGUUGUGUGCAGGAAAGAAUUUUCUAGCAGCCCUCACUGAGACACCCCUGAGGUCUGGAAACCUUGGCUAUCCAAGAACAGACUUGGAGAAUAUGCCUAUGUGAUUUUAGAAAGUUUAAGCCAUUCUGGCAAUCAUUAAAAAGUCAGGAAACAACAGAUGCUGGACAGGAUGUGGAGAAAUAGGAACACUUUUACACUGUUGGUGGGACUGUAAACUAGUUCAACCAUUGUGGAAGACAGUGUGGCGAUUCCUCAAGGAUCUAGAACUAGAAAUACCAUUUGACCCAGCCAUCCCAUUACUGGGUAUAUACGCAAGGGAUUAUAAAUCAUGCUGCUAUAAAGACACAUGCACACAUAUGUUUAUUGUGGCACUAUUCACAAUAGCAAAGACUUGGAACCAACCCAAAUGUCCAUCAGUGAUAGACUGGAUUAAGAAAAUGUGGCACAUAUACACCAUGGAGUACUAUGCAGCCAUAAAAAGGAUGAGUUCAUGUUCUUUGUAGGGAUGUGGAUGAAGCUGGAAACCAUCACUCUGAGCAAACUAUCACAAGGACAGCAAACGAAACACUGCAUGUUCUCACUCAUAGGUGGGAAUUGAACAAUGAGAACACUUGGAGACAGGGUGGGGAACAUCACACAAUGGGGCCUGUCAUGGGGUGGGGGGAGGGGAGAGGGAUAGCAUUAGGAGAUACACCUAAUGUAAAUGAUGAGUUAACGGGUGCAGCACACCAACAUGACGCAUGUAUACAUAUGUAACAAACCUGCACAUUGUGCACAUGUACCCUAGAACUUAAAGCAUAAUUAAAAAAAAAAAAAGUUUAAGCCGUUCUAUUUACAUUUUGGUUACCCCUAUUAUAGCCUCCUUUUUCUAUGGCAUGUGCUUCUUUCCCUUCUCAGGGGCAAUCUCUGCCUCUAUUACUAAGAACUGAGACCCUCUGUGGCCCCUGGUUCUUUUCAUGGGUAGCACCACCUUGCCUCAAUUCACACUGUUGCUUAUUUGCCAGUUCUACAGUUGCCCUCAGCGACUGCAGAAAGUAGGACUGAACAUCUUGGAGUUCAAACACAACAAAAGAUCUAAAUCCAUGACCCCCAUAAAGAUCCUAAGAGAUGCUGUGGAAUGCAAACUCCAUCAGUGAAUCAAAUCUGUUGUGUUCUGAAAGAGUUAUCUAACAACCAUGAAUCAUCGGGCAUCAUAACUGAGAGGUGGGCCAAUUUUCCUGCUGUAAAACCAACUUUUCAUAAAAAUAGGCAUUCUUUAUGUCAUGGGCAGAAUUAAAUGACCUGAAUGCAAACAUGCAACAAAAGGAAGAAGGGCUAAGACAUUUUACCACUGAUUUUUCUUUCUUGGAGAAUGUCUUGCAUGUUCCCAAAUUUAGAUCUGGAGAAUUUACUUGUAAUAAUAAUUAGACAUUACCAUGACAACAGCAAUGUUUAAAAAUUGCUAGUAGCAAAAGAAGUCACUUCCCAAGGAAAGAUUUUUGUUGAGAAAAUAGAUGUAAUUUCUCAAGGUAUACAAAAUAAUAUAUGGCUACCUUAAAAUAUCCUAAAACCUUUCCAAUUAUUACUGAUAACGUAAAUCAAAAAUGCAGUAGAAGCAGGAGUGGUGGCUCACACUUGUAAUCCCAGCACUUUGGGAGGCUGAGGUGGAUGAAUUGCUUGAGGUCAGGAAUUUGAGACCAGCCUGGCCAACAUGGUGAAACCCUAUCUCUACUAAAAACACAAAAUUCACCAGGCAUGGUGAUGCAUGCCUGUAAUCCCAGCUACUCAGGAGGCUGAGACAGGAGAAUUGCUUAAACUCAAGAGGUAGAGGUUGCAGUGAGCCAAGAUCACACCAUUGCACUCCAGCCUGGGCGACAAAGCAAGACCCCAUCUCAAAAUAAAAGAUAAAAAAAAAAAGCAGUAGAAAUUUCAAUGCGAUGGAGUCACAACAAAUUUACAGUUUGAACUGACUGAUAUGUGACUCUGUUUUUGCAUACUAUAAAAUAUCUUAUAUGUAUAAAAGAUAUCAUUUGCAUUGUAAAUGGACCAUGUUUUACAUUUGAUUUUACAAACUAGAAAGCACUUUGCUUUAGAAAGCUAUUGGUAUACCUGUUACUGUUAAAAUCUAAAUUAAUUUUUUAGGUUUUUUUUCGGGGGGUAGUGGGGGACAGAGUCUCUCUCUAUUGCCCAGGUUGGAGUGUAGUGGCGUGAUCUUGGCUCAUCACAACCGCUGCCUCCCAGACUCAAGAAAUCCUCCUGCCUCAGCCUCCCAAGUAGCUAGGACCACAGGUGCAUGCCACCAGGCCUAAUUUUUUGUAUUUUUAAUAGAGACGUGAUUUUGCCAUGUUUCCAAGGCUGGUCUUGAACUCCUGGGAUCAAGCGAUCCACCUAUUUUGGCCUCCCAAAGUGCUGGGAUUACAGGCGUGAGCCAACACACUCAGCCAGCUUUUUCUUUUAGCAUGCUUACAAUCCCAAGAAACAGACAUAUUUGAUCAUGAGGUUAAGGGGCAAUUCAGACAUGAGUUUCUCAACUUCAUUACUAUCACCAUUGACAUUUUGGUUAAGAUAAUUUUGUUGUGAGAGACUAUCCUGUGCAUUUUUGGAGGUUUAGCAGCAUCCCUGGCUUCUACCUACCUCUACCUCCCAAUCAUGGAAAUCAAAAUGUGUCUAGACAUUGUGUAUGUCCCCUGAGAGACAAAGCUGCCUCUGAUCGAGAAACACAGCUCUAGAUAAUGGGAGUUGGAAAGGUUGGUGCAUCAUCACGGAUGAUAGGAAGUUCUACAUUAUUGCAGGUCCUUCAGUGUGGUUUCUACUUUAUAGGGUGAACACACUUUUAUCCUUCUCCUUGACAAAUCUGAAAAAUUAAAUUGAGAGUUCUGUAAAGUGGCACUGAAUUACAUGGCUGACUGCUGAGGCUUCUAGAGGAUUAGCCAUACUUGACUAAAUUAGCAUUUGGGAUUAUGUCAGCAUGGGAACACAGAAAGUAAAAGCCAGCGAGGUGGGGCUUUGAUUCCUGUGCUCUAAGUGCUUUUUAAUUUUGGUGUAAAAAAAGACAAAUGGCUAACAUUGCCCACAUUUAACUCAACAUCACACACACGCGCACACACACACGCGCACACACGCACACGCGCACACACACACACAGAUACACUGUCUCUCUCUCUCUCUCUUUCUCUCCCUUUCUCUCUCUCUCAAGUUCCCAAGUUUCUAUGCUCAUUUUCUAGGUGAGACAGCAAAAAUUCAGAGCAAAUAACCCCACCAAACAGCAAUUUCUUUUUUUUUUUCUUUUGGAAACUAAAAACCCCACCAAUUUCUCAACCUCUAGGGAGAACUUUAUCAAAGUUAUUUGCUGUGGCUACCUAUUAAAUGAUACCAAGAUCUUUGAAGAUUAUCUGUUUCAGAGAUAUGUGAAAUAUAAUAUAUGUGUCAUGCCUAGCAUUUUGAUUACAUCUUUCCCUUAAAGGCCACUAAAGAUUCUGUAGUUAAGGCUUCAAAUUUAAAGUGAUCAACAAAAGCACAGAUUAAGUGACUCAUCUAAGGUGAUGCAGAUGGAAAAUGAAAGACUGAGAAGUGAACGCAAGGGGAUUUUAAAGUUCCUUUUCCUGAGUUAUUUUUUAUCCCUAAGUUCUGUCUUCUGUCCUUUUUAUUUCCUCAUUCUGCUCCCCUUAGCUUAUUUUGUCCAUACAGUGUUUGGCUCAAAAUAGAUUCUCAAAAAAUAUUUAUCACUCAAUAAAAGAAAACCUCAAACCACAGAUACCAUGGGCAAUAAAUCAAUUUCCUAUUGAAGAUAUUAUUUGCCUUAGAAGACAUUGUAGCUAUUUAAAAGCAAAAGGGCUGAUUGGCAUCACUUUAAAUUCAUGGCUACAGAUCUCAAAUACAUGUUCAACCAGUGCCUGGCAAUUCUACUGUGCAGGGCUUCCAAUUCCCUACUUUCUCCAAAACAGUUCACAAAUAAACAUUAGAAAUUUCAUGGACAUCUUUGGUGGACAAAUACUAAAAUAAAACAAAGUUUGGCCCACUACAGCUUUUAAAAUGUCUGCUUGUGAUGGAGCAUAUCCACAAACAGUGGAAUAUGUAAAAGCCAGUCAAAAAUCUCCACUGGAGCUUUAAAAUGAACAGCUCCUAAGCCCCCACACACUGCCAUUUGAAAAAAUAGAUGUCAUGCUUUCCUUUCUUUUCAGAUAUUCCAUGAGCGUAAACAUAGAAAAAUCAGAAUCUCAUUACACUUGUUACUCUCUGCCUUCUCCAUUCAAUCUCAUGACAUGGAAACAGAAAAGAGACUCAGGCAAGUAUACCUCCUAAUAUCCUUGCUGGAGGAGCUCCCUGCCAUGGCAACCUCAUGCACCACAUGUCACAUGGGAACAUUUGCAAAAUCUCAGAAGUUCUGCACUUUGCUAUAAUCGCAGAUCUAGGCACUUUGGAUACUCUGUCUCUGACAAUCGUCAGAGCUUGAAGCCAAAGUAACGGCCUUCCAGCUUGCCUGAGUAUACUUUCCUGAGAAAGCUUAAUGGGAUUCAUGCUAUACAGUCAGUUCAUACAGUAUUUCACUUUCAUGGCAGCUUUGACAGAGGUCCAAAUGAGUACAUCCAAUAACAAAGGAACAGAUACAUAAAUACAUCUCACUUUUGCUCCUCUGUCUUGCAGUACUUCAACUAUUGCAGUCACCCAUCAUGUCAAUUCCCUACCUCCAUCAUACUUUCUCAACCAUUAUUUCCUUCGAAUACAGUGAGCACUGCAGCUGGAGUGAUAUUUUUAAAAUGUGAAUUUGACUGUGUCAUCUCUGUGAUUAAGACUCUCCAGGAUCAUUCCACUCUCUGGAACUCCUUGGCCCCUGCUUUCCUCUCCACCACCUGCUUGAGAGCCACUGUCCCAGUAUGUUCUAGCCUCCAGUUAUCCCAAGCUCUUCCCUGUCCUAGAGUCUUCAUGUGAGCAGCCUACCAGCCCGAGAAAUUUCACCCCUGACUCAUUCUGCAUCUGUCUCCAUUCAAACUGUGCCUCUGCAGACACGUCUCCCUUGAGGACUUUAUCUAUACAGGUCUCUCCUUUCAUUCUUCAUUGAUGUACCCCAAUUACUUUUUUCAUAGCAACUGUCUCAGUUUGCAAAUACUUAAUUAGGAAUAGUUGUGCUGACUUAUAUAUUUCAUCUUCUGUCCACUCAAAGACUAUAAGUCUAUGUUUAUUUCACCCCCCAAUGUAGAACAAAUGUCUAACUGUGCCUGAUGUGUAGUAAGUACAAUAGAUGUUGGCUAAAUGAAUGAACGUAUAUCAUUAAAGAAAGAGGAUAACAGCAUUAAAGGGACACAUUUGCCUAAGAGACCAAAUUUAAGCUUUCUGCCCAGCAAUUAUAUAUACCCAAUUAGCCCUCUUUAUCUUUGUCUGCUCUGCCUUCUUGCCCCUUAACAAAUUUGGUAUUUAUAGGAACUCAGGGAUUUUCAACAUGGUAAAACCCAAGGAAACCCCAAAUUGGUCCAUUGCUUGUUUCAUGCCCAGAUUUUUGACCCCUGCAUAUUUUAAGAAAAAUCUAACUUUGAUUCAUUUACAGUUAGUUAAAUUAUUUCAUCUAAUUGCCUCAUUUUUUUUUUGUAAAUCAAAACCUUCUUUCACUGACACAGGAAGUCAUAUUUUGUCAAAACUAGAUGAACAUGAACCCAGAGAGACUUGAAUUCUAUUGUAACCUCAAAAACCACAAAAAUGGAAGGAAUUUGGGAAGUCAAAUGUGUCCCUGUGCCUUGUCUAUAGGGUCUAACAUUUUGUUCAUCUUGUGAAGAUUUGUGUGUUUCCAGUUUCACCCCUGCCAUAGUUCUUGGUACAGGCACGUGAUACGACGGGGAGAUUCCCACUUUAGAAGGCAGUUUUCACAGUAACCCCCUUUAGCCUUUGAGUUUCUAAUGUAACCUUUGAAAACAGCUGGUCCAAAUUCCAUCUUGUCCCAGACCCACACAGACCUCCUCUGCAUUAUGUUCAAUUCGAAGACAAAGGAAGUUCAGGGAGGAACACUGAGCAAGAUGUGAUUUGGCCAAGUAAUUGUAGCCACUUUGCAAGCAGCCACCCGGAAUGCAGAUUUUAUUAGCUUUUAUUUUACUUAUUUUUUAGAAAAGCCUUUUAAAUGACUUAUACAUCUAUAUACAUUUAUACUUUUUUUUUCAAAGCUGAGAUGGAAGGCUUAACCCUCCUGCAUACUGUCUGACCCAUGAAAAUAAACCCUUGACAUUUAUGAAUGAUACCUCCUCAUGACCAAUUAAUCCCCAUACACAAAGACUACUGCAGUCCUUAAUUCUCCCCAAUGAAGUAUAACAUUUAAUUAAAUAAUUUGCCUGACAGCUUCUAACUUUGAAGGAGAAUUGUAUAUAAGCAAUAUAACGUAAGAGAAAAGAAAUCUAGCUCUAAAUCUGGAGUCAGAAAACCUUACGUUUAGAUCUUAGCUCUUUCAGCUAUAAAUUAUUGACCUCAGUUUUCUCAUCUGAAAAGCAGAGCUAAGUAAUAGAAAUGUACACUUCAGAGUUACUUUGAGGCUCAAAUAUUUUAAAGGCAGGUAAAAUACUUACUAGAGUCCCUGGCAUAGUCCCACAUUUGAAAGCUAUGAGAAAGAUAUUUCCAUGCACUCCUAGUAGGAAUACAAAUUGGUAUAACCACUUUGGGAAAUGGUACAAAAAUAUUGAUUGAAUUUUAAAGCUUGUGUAUUUCAAGACCUAGCAAGUCCACUUCUGUUUUUCCUAUUUACACCAGAGAAACACUUGCACCCAAGGAGACAUAUACAAAAUACUCAGAACAAUGUGUUUUGUAAUAGUGAGAGACUGGAAACACCCAAAGAGUUCUUUCGCUUUUAAGUAGGAGAGGCUAAUUCCUGUAAGAAAUGCCCUUACAUAUUUCAACAAGUUAACAAUUUGAAGUGGAGAUUCACGGGUAGCCUUCAAUGUGGUGAUUCAGUGACCCAGCUUUCUGUGGCUCUGCUCUUCCUAGGGCUUUGGAAACUUCUGCUAGAUCAUUUCAUCUAGUUAGCACAUGGAGGACGAGAAAGCUUGUUCCAUUGUUCCAUGAAAUUUGUGGAAAAUUUCAUGAAGUUUCAACAGAUUGGGCCUGGGAGUGCCAUAUAUCACUUCUGUCCACAGCCCAUUGGCUAGAACACACUAAUUUGGGCAUAGUUAAUCGUGAUGUAGUCUAGACGCAGGUUCAGGGACAUAGGGAACCAGGGCUUUGAUGAAAAACAUCUCAGUUCUGACACAAAUACAAGAUUAAAAUAAUGAGAUAGGUCUAUGUUUACUAGCAAAUGGGCCUUCCAGGACAUAUUCUGUGAAAAACUAAGCAGGCGACAUGUCAUAGGAUGGUUUCCUGGGAAGCAGACUAUGAGAUGGAAGUUACUGUUCUGGAAGUACGUUAGGAAAAUUCUUGGCAUCAGCAUCUAAGGAAGCAGGAUUGGGCAAAGGGAGAAGCUGAGUUAUGAUGUGGGCUCCACAGCAACCUCAGCCACCCCACAGGCAGCUCUGAGGCUAGGAAGAUCUUUCUGAGUUAACCCAGUUUUGGCCAACAUGGCAAGACAUUUAUAGUCUUACAAUGAGCUUGCAUGGGAACUAGUACAUUGGUACCAAAUGGAACUGGAUCAGUCACUGACCAUUGCCUGUCUCUGCAGGGGUGAGCCUGAGGGUGAGGGGGCUAUUGCGGCAGAGGUGGUCCAAGAAGGGGCUGAGAGAUGCAGACAGUCUGCUGGAAGUGCUCCCUGAUGAGGCAAUGAGUCCUUCACUGAAGGGAGAUUUGGGCAAUGCGUAACAGUGUCACCCCACACAGCUAAACUAUGUAGGUAGGCUAUUAUUACUGUAAAAACAAAAGAAUAUGCUUAUUUUCUCUGACUAAAUUUCUAUGUAAAUUCAUAGAAAAAACCUGGAUAAAAAGCUGGACAUUUUGUAUAAUAAUAAGUAGAUAUCAGAGUGAUGCGGCUCCUUUUGAGUAAGGAGGCAGAUCUGAGAGAUUGAGGGUAAAUUCAAAAGAAACUUCAACCAUAUCUGCAACUUUUAAUAUUUUUGAACAAAGUGAAUUGCUAUUUUGCUUACCUAUAUGAAUUUAAUAAAACUAUUGAGGUGGGUUUAUUGUACAAGUAUGUAUGAUAAGAACAUUAACCCAGACAAUAUUCUACGUGUGGCAGGACCUUCCAUUGCAGAAGCAUCACAUAAAAAUAGCUUUUAUUUAUUUGAAGAUUGAGCGACUUUCCUUCUUUCUUCUUCCUCCCACAGAUUUUUGGCCAAUUCACUGCUCACUAACAUCUCCAUCAAAGGGUAACUGGGUUGGGGCACCGGGUGUGGGAAGGAGAGGAAGGAAAUGAGAAUCGGCAGUUUCCAUUACCUGCUAGCAACUCUGGUAAAUAGGUUUAGUAGGGGGAACUGUUGAAAAUCAGUUAUUCAGAUUAUCUGAGCCUGCCAACCACGCAUGUUACACCCUCCUCCCAUUAGCAUAGACUCAGGAGAAUUGGCCCUAAUUGCAUUUGCAGUGAUAGUGACUGAAACAAGAUUGUUUAAUGAUUAUGUGGCUCCUUAAACUGAUUUUUUUCUUUCAUUUGGCACAUCCCAACAGAAUACUUUGAGGAAAAAGGCAUUUUCUACUUUAUUCUCACCUAUUAAACAUCUACACAUCUUUCAGGAUAAUGGAUAGUCUAGAUAGACCAAAGACAACUUCUUUGAAUUUGAAAAAAUAUAUUUUAUCUUUUAUUUUGGUCUGGCAAUAGAACAGUUUAUUUGGGAUAUGCAGGUAGCAAUAAAAAACAUAAUAUAAUCAAUAAGAGACAUUCAAAUAUUUGAAUGUCACUCAAUAUUUGAGUAAAUAUUUGUUGAAUUUAGAGGAUUUAAGAGCAGAGUUAUAAUACUGGCAUCAUAAAAAAAUCUUCUAGGUUUUAACUGUAAAAACACCGAGUUUUAACCAAACAAUUCCAGCCAAUUCAAUUUGAAUCAUUUUUUUUUCCUGGAAUUAAAAUGCUGUGUUGAAAAGAAGCUUGCAAUAAAAUUUGAAAGACUAGGAUUCUAAUUCAGAUCACCACAUUACUUAGCGAUUUUGAGACAAAUUUCAGAUUCUGACUCAGUUUGUUCAGCUACAGAUGAUUGUAUGAGGAAAAACCCUACAUUUAAUGUUUUACACAUAUUUUUAUAUUUAUAAUUUUUACCCCAACACUGAUAUUAAUGAGCUGUAUCGUAGAAGGCUUUCACUGGUAGCAAAUGGAACUGGAUCUUGACCCAAUCAUAUACUGGUUAUUUGAUGUUAGUGAAACUAAGUGGCCCCUCCAAGAUUCUACUUCCUUAUUUGUAGCAUGAGGUCACAUAUAAUUAAUUCAUAUAUCACUGGAUUGUCGUGAAGGUGAAAAUGAUAAAGUGCAUAACAUCAUGCCUGAGACAUAGCAAUCCCAUAAUAAAAGGGAGUUAUCCUCAAAUUUUAGCUAUCCCACUAACAAGAUACACUGUGUUUUUCUCUAAGGAAAAACACACAUUGUAAAGUAAGAAUUCUUCAAAGACAACUUGAAGACGUCUGGGAAUUCUGAAGCCUGAAAAUUCCAUGAGUUCAUAGCAGUGUUCACUAAUUCCACUGAUUUAAAGACAAAAAGGAGAGUCAACUGCGUGCCCAAACUCAUUUCUGAUGAUUUCUUCCAUCCUACCUUUUCUGCCUCUCUGGGGGUGGUUAUGCCUGUGAAAAACAUUGAAGCUGUCGGAAACAGAGUCGGCUUUCAAGAUUGGAAUGUCAAAGUAGAGUCUUCUUUUCCUCAGACCAGAAGGGGCUUGGUUGGGUAAGAGUUUCCAGAUCUAAAUGGAGACAGGACUGGGAUAUAGGAGCUUGUACGGAUAAACAGCACAAACACCUUGGGUAAGUGAUACACCAAGAGAGAUCAAAAUAGGGUAGGAACACGAUCCUAAAGCUAUGUGAGAUAUGAAGCCAAGAGACCCUGUCUACAGGCUGAUAUGUAUUGCAACCAGAGGCCACCUACACUCAAGAAAAUUCUAAAUGAUGUAAUAGGUCAUGGACACUUUCUUGUAAAAAUGAUCGAUAUUUUUUUCUUAUAGGGAUAAAGCUUAAAAUCAUGGGAUGUAUCUCCAUUAGGAAAUAUGAAGUGAGUUGGUAUAUUCCAGGUAGGUUAGACUGAGAUAAUUAUAAAACUGGGCUGAUUUUACAUAGAGAAGAACUUGAUUCCUAAAGGUGUUGAAGGACAAGAUGGGGACAGUUAUUGAAGUGUUCAGGUGCUGUCCUUUGUAGUCUGUAGCCUAUUAAAAUAAUACACAACUGAAAACAGACCCAAGGAAAGGGGUUCAACUCAUCGCUAGAAUGUAAACUCUAAGAAGAUAAGGAUUUUGUCUGCUUCAUUUACUACUGUAUUCCCAGCUCCUAAAAGAGUGUCCAGCACUUAGUAUCUGUUGGUAAGUACCUGUUGAAUUAAUUAACCAGUGGUGAGACUUUGGAAAGCAGCUAGUCCAUCUGUAAGAUUGUUUUCUCAUCUGUGAGAUGAGUCAGUUAGAUUAGAUGUUUUCUAAGCUUAUUCUAGUUUUAAAAUUGUAUGUUUCUGUAAGAAAUGACAAAUGAAAAAUGUCCAUUCCUUUUUCAUCUCCAUCACCCAUCUCACAUCUUCCUUCAGUGCCUAUGUGAUCUGUUUGAGUAUAACCAGGUGUAGAAAAGUACUAAGUGAUAUGAGAUGACUUCAGUAGUCCAGGGACUCUUUUUUCCCCCCCUCUGUAAAGAGUCAUUUGCUUAAUUUAAUGUACAUUAUAAAAACAGAAUUCGUUUCUCAAUUUCAUUUAUAGUCAUACUAUAGUUUACUUUUCACAUAAAUUUAAGGUACAAGGAAGUCAACUUAAAGAAAAUAUUUUAAGUAAAUUAUAAUGCAAGUUCUACACAGAUGUAGCACAAACCACAAUGGUAGGACACAAGCAAUUGCUAUUUGAGAAAUAGGCCUCUUUGUCAGUACUUACGGCACGUAUCUUAAAACCCGACUUUCACUAGUGCUCUCAGAGGAACUAAGUCACAAUUCAAGUGACCAUACCAUUUAGCUGAGGGCCCUUUAUUCCUGUUUAUGGUAAAAUAAUUGCCUUAGUUGUACUUUUAAAAAAUAUACUUUUUCUGCUUCUGACCGUAAUGGGCUAACUGCCAUUAAAGAGACCAUCUAUCAUAAACGAUUAGAGAACUGGAUAGAAUAUAUGAAGCCACUGUUUUUGGACAAUAGGCAGCACAAAACUAUGAUCCCUGAGAAAAAGGAAGGAAAUGAGGUGAUGCCUAUAAUUGCCCUGAUUUUUUGCCUGGAGAUACUGUCUGAACUGCCACUCUGGAAAGGAAAACUCAGGUGAAACAUGGGGCCUCACUAAGUAGAGGAGACAGGUAUCAAUAUUGGGAAAGCUGAAAUGACUGGAAUUUGUAGGGCAGAAUAUGGGGAAGGAAGGAGCUAUGUAGGGAAAGAGCUCACGAAAUACGCAUAAAGGGGUCGGGUGCGGUGGCUCACGCCUGUAAUCCCAGCACUUUGGGAGGCCGAGGUGGGCGGGUUACUUGAGGCUAGGAGUUCAAGACCAGCCUGACCAACCUGGUGAAACUCUGUCUCUACUAAAAAUACAAAAAUUAAUCGGGUGUGGCUGGAUGCGGUGGCCCCUGCCUGUAAUCCCAGCACUUUGGGAAGCCGAAGCGGGUGGAUCACAAGAUCAGGAAUUCGAGACCAGCCUGACCAACAUGGUGAAACCCCUUCUCUACUAAAAAUACAAAUAUUAGCUGGGCGUGGUGGUGCAUGCCUGUAAUUCUAGCUACUCAGGAGGCUGAGGCAGGAGAAUCGCUUGAACCCAGAAGGUGGAGGUUGCAGUGAGCCAAGACCGCGCCACUACACUCCAGCCUGAGUGACAGAGCAAAACUCCAUCUCAAAAAAAAAAAAAAAAAAAAUUAGUCAGGCAUGGUGGCAGGCACCUGUAAUCCCAGCUACUCAUAGGCUGAGGCACAAGAAUCACUUGAACCCAGGUGGCAGAAGUCACAGUGAGUGAAGAUCGCACCACUGCAUUUCCAGCCUGAGUGACAAAGUGAGACUCUGUCUCAAAAAUAAAAAUAAAAAUAAAAGAAUAUGCAAAGGAUGUUCUUGAGAUUUUGGCUGAUUAUGAAACUAUAUAGGGUAAGACUCCACAAGUGAAAGAACAGUACUUGGAAAGACAAUUACUGAAGAACUAUAAACUGAACAACUACCAGAUCUCCUCCUGAACUGAAAUAUAUUCAAGUUCCAGCCAAAGUCGAGACACACAAUUGAAUUUAUGCAUCAUUUAGUAGAGACCCCAAAAUAUUCAUGCCUCAGUAGUAAUGCAAAAUUGUCCCUACAAUAAAAACUACAGUAGCUCCCCCUUAUCCACAGUCUUACUUCCUGGAGCUUCAGUUACCCACAGUCAACUUCAGUCCAAAAAUAUUCAAUGGAAAAUCUCAGAAAUAAGCAAUUCAUAAAUUUUAAAUUGUACACUGUUCUGAGUAGCAUAACGAAAUUUCAAGCCAUCCCACUCUGUCCCACCCAGAACAUGAAUCAUCCCUUUGUCCAGUAUAUGCUACCCUCCCAUUGGUCACUUAGGUUAUCAGAAUGACUGUGGCAGUAUAGCAGUGCUUAUACACAAGCAACCCUUGUUUCGUUUAAUAACAGCCCCCACAUGCAAGAAUAGCGAUGCUGGCAAUUUGGAUAAGCCAAAGAGAAGCCACAAAGUAUUUCAAGUAAAAAUGUGAAAGUUCUUGACUUAAUAAGGAAAAAAAAGUCAUGCUGAGGCAGCUGAGAUCUACAGUAAGAACACAUCUUCUAUCCUUGGAAUUGUGAAGAAGGAAAAAGAUAUUUGCUAGUUUUGCUGUUGCACCUCAAACUGCAAAAGUUACCACCACGGUUCAUGCAAAGUGCUUAGUUAAGAUGGAAAAGGAGUUACAUUUGUGGUUGCAAGACAUGAACAGAGAGGCAUUCCAAUCAAUAGCAAUCAGGUUCAGGGGGUACCGUCCUCAGUUUCAGGCAUCCACAGGGGGUCUUGGAAAGUAUUCCCCAUGGAGGGUUGGGGGGCUACUGUACUCCAUACUUGUUCUAAUAAAACUUUUUAGAAAUCUCAAAAAGAUUAAGCUAAUCUACAUGAAAUUUAAAUGCUUGCUAGAACAAAGCACAAUGCUCUUUAAAGGAGCAAAACUAAAUCCAGACAAUCAAUACUGUAACACAAUGUUUAGCAACAUGCAAUAAAAAAAUUACUAGACACACAAGAAAUUAAGAAAAAACGUCCUUUCCAUGACCAGGAGAAAAAUGCAUCAACAGAAAGAGACCCAGAAGUGAGAGAGAUGAUAAAAAUUAGUGGACAAGGACUUUCAAACAGCUAUCAGUAGUUUAAGUAUGUGUAUAAAAACAUAAAUACAAUGAGAGAAAUGGGAACUGUAAAAAAGAACCAAGUGAAACUUCUGAAGCAGAAAAAUAUAAUAUCCGAAGUGAAAAAAUUCACUAGAUAGUUGCAAUAACAGUUUGAUAUUGCAGAAGAAAAAGGUCAGUGAGCUUGAAUAGAACAGAGAGGAAAGUAUAGUCUUUUCAACCAUUAGUGCUGUAACAAUCAGACUGUAUUGAAAAAGACUAACUUUGGUUCCUACCCCUUACCACACACAAAAAGUAAACUAGACACAGAUCGUGGAACUAAAUGUAAAACCUAAAACAAUAAAAUUUUAUGGCCUGGCCAUAAUGGAUUUCUUAGACCAUAAAAAGUACUAACCAAAAAAGGCCAAAUUGUUAGAUUUCCUCAAAAGCAAAAACUUUUGCUACUGACAAAGCACCAUUAAAAAAUAAGUCAAGUCAAAGAUUGAAAGAAAAUAUUCACAAUGCACAUCAUAGAGUUGUAUCUGGACUAUAAGAAGAACUUUUAUGACUCAAUAAUAAAAAGACAACCACAUUUUUAAGAGGAGCAAAAGAUUUGAACAUACACUUCACAGAAGAAUAUAAGGGUGAGUAAACACUAAAAGAUACUCAACAUCAUAGUCACCAUAGAAACGCAAUUUUAAACCACAAUGAGAUACCACUACACACCUACUAAAAUAGCUAAAAUGUAAAAAGGCAGAUAUUACCAAGAUUUGGAGAGGAUUUAGGAGUACUGGAAAUGUCAUACAUGGGUAGUGAGACUGUAAAAUGGUAUAAACAUCUUAGAACACAAUUUGGUAGUUUCUUAUAAAGUUAAAGACAUGCUUAUCAUAUAACUCACCAACCCCUUUUCUAGGUAUCAGCCAAAGAAAAAUAAAAAAACGUAUGUCUGCUACACAGACUGCUUGUCUAUCUAUGUAUGAACACUUGUUGAACACAAUGUGAAUGAAUCUCAAAAGUAUUUUGCUGAGUAAAAGUGCCCAAUCCCCAAAAAGUACACAUCAUAUGACUCAAUUUGUUUGAAGAUCUAAAACAGUUGAAGAAACCGAAGCACAAAGAAUAACUUGUCCAAGAUCACAGAGUUUAGGAAGUAAGGAAGCAGGGCUUUGAGCUUUGCAUAAAGUGAUGACCCAUAAAUGCAAAUGGAAUACAACAGGAGUGGGUCCAUAAAGUCCCACCCAGAGAAUGCCCUUCUGCCAAAAAAUUUCGGAUUGAAACAGCAAAAACCUAAGCAACUGAUAGUCAGCCAAAAGCAAAGCGCAACAGACAAUGCAAACAAAAAGCAAAUGAACAAAAGAAACUUGAAAGGAAAGAAGUGGUGAUAAAGUCUAAGGAUGGGGAAAUGUGCUAUGAAGCAAGAAGCGAAGGAUUCCAGUGAAACGUAAGGGAAAUGCUAAAUGAAAGAUGGGUAUACAGCGUGAGACAGAAUCAAGAAAUGGUAAGAGGUUGGAUAGAGAAGAAUCAAGCUGCCGGGUGGUGAGUCCAAACACUGCUAAAAUCCAAUUCUAAUUAUACACGAGCCUCUUCUCUGCAUUUGUUUAAUUUCAUUCUUCUCUGCAAAUACAGAAACAGCUGUUUCCCUUUUGACACAAUUAUCUAAGUCCAGAAGCUUUUGAAAUGUCCCUUUGAAAGGUUUGCAGACCUUACAAGAAGCCUAAACAUAUUAAGUAACAGAUCUUUUGGAUUUUAGAUAAGGAAAGCAUUUUACUCAAGGCCUUGAAACUACCGGCCAGAGGACCUAGGGUGGUGGAAGGAACCAUGGUGUGUCUCAAAGUCAGGAUGAAUGGCAAUACUUAUUUGACCUUAAAAGUCAACAACUUGACCAUUAGCUUGACUAUGUUAUGAGUGAAAAAUUGACCUAGAGUAUUCAUCCAUUGGCUGACCAGCAGCUAAUCAGAUUGUCUUUAUUGAACUUAGUUUGAACUAAGAUAUUGAUAAUCUAUAGUCAAUUGUUGAUGGGCACCAGAAUAUAGUCAAGUAGAUUUAGGAUUAGCGGUUCCAUUGGACCAUGUCAGUCAAGAGACACAAAUAGAAAACUGAGUACUUCCCUCAAGAGAGAGAAAAUACUAAAAGAAAAAAGGGAAAGACUACAAAAGAGACAAAAAUGAAUGAAUGCGUGGCCCCACAGAGAUGGAAGUGAGAGGUGAAGCCAGCUGGGCUUCUGGGUCGGGUGGGGACUUGGAGAACUUUUCUGUCUCGCUAAAGGAUUGUAAAUGCACAAAUCAGCGCUCUGGGUCUAGCUAAAGGUUUGUAAAUGCACCAAUCAGCACUCUGUAAAAACAGACCAAUCAGCAUUCUGUAAAAUGGACCAAUCAGCACUUGUAAAAUGCACCAAUUGGCAGGAUGUGGGUGGGGCCAAAUAAGGCACUAAAAGCUGGCCACUUGAGCCAGCAGCGGCAACCCGCUCAGGUCACCUUCCACACUGUGGAAGCCUUGUUCUUUGGCUCUUCACAAUAAAUCUUGCUGCUGCUCACUCUUUGGGUCUGCACUACAUUUAUGAGUUGUCACACUCACUGUGGAGGUCUGAGGCUUCACUCCUGAAGUCAGCGAGACCACGAACCCACCAGGAGGAACAAACAACUCCAGACGCACCACCUUUAAGAGCUGUAACACUCACUGCGAAGGUCUGCGGCUUCACUCCUGAUGUCAAGCGAGACCACGAACCUACCGGAAGGAAGAAACUCUGGACACAUCUGAACGUCUGAAGGAACAAACUCUAGACACACCAUCUUUAAGAACUGUAACACUCACCGUAAGUGUCCGCAGCUUCAUUCUUGAAGUGAGACCAAGCACCCACAGGAAGGAACCAAUUCCGGACACAGAAGUAUUUUCCAUUCCUAUCAACUUUUCAUUUCCAUCUUCAUGAAGACUCAGUAUCCAAACUCAGUAUCCAAUAAACAAACAAUGGCUAAUAUUUCUGAACACAUAACCAUACAGCAUUGUGCAUACAUUGUUUCAUUUCAUCCUCAAACAACCCUAUAAGAAAGAACUAUUACUAUUCCCAUUUUACAGCUGAGAAAACUGAGACCUGGAGAGCUUAAGUAGUGUGCUCACACAAGUCCCAUGGUUAGUAACUGGUAGCGACAGGAUUCAAACUCAAUUCUGUCUUAUUCCAAAGUUCAUGUUCUUCUUAAACCAGGUGUUUCUUGUAACCUGAAAUUACCUUCCUCUUUAUUCGAGCAAGCUUGAGAAUUCUUUUAAUAAACAUCAGCCAUCCCUGAUGAAGACAGAAAUGAAAAAGUUCAAGAUGUUAGCAAGGAAGGGAUCCUCGCUAAGCACUGAAGUUGUGACAUAGAGGCAAAUUCUGUGACUUAAAACUCCAUUUCCUUUGGGUAUAAGGAUUCAACUUUAAAUGUUUUUUCCCCCACUUUACUUUCCUCGUUUCUGGUUUUUACAUUAGGCAAGUUACUGAUAUAAAAUUCUUGCUGAACUUAGAGUCCUGUCAUUUUCCCCAGUGUUCUGACAUUUUUUUAAAAAUGUAAUUUAAUGGAAAUUUUUAAACUCGAUAAGAAAAAGACAGAGGAAAGAGUAUACUUUGAGUAAUGAAGCAAACGAAGCUGAGGAAGUUGGAUGCUUAUGUUUACUACCAAGUAAAUGUCAGAGGACAUUUACAUUUGCCAAAUUCUUUGCGUGUAUAUCUUUAAAGCUGUCCAGAUGCAUUAGAUGAACACAGCAUGAUAAUGGUCAUACCCUGCUCUGUGCUUCACUUCUACACAUUAAAUUUCCUGAAUAUAAAUGAAGGCCACAAUGUUCAUUUACAUGCAAUACUAGGUCUGUUUUUUGAACAAGCUGUCUAAAGAAAUAUUCUGUCACACGAUAGAUUUUCACAUCUUUGGCUAUUUUGGUUUUAUGUUGGAAAGAAGUGAAGAGAUAUGUGAGGGAAUUUUUCAGAAUAUUGAAUUUGGGCCUGGGCUAGGCAUUGGCUAGCUGUGUGACCUUGAGCUAGGCAUUCACCUGAUGACAUGGAAACCAUACUAUUUAUGUCACAGGGUAAAUAAGGUCAUAAUAAGAUCAUAACUGAAACAGAGAUGGAGAAGAUUAUCAGGAGUCUUUAAAUGUUUACAGAAUUUAUUGAAUGAUUACUACGAAUUGUUUUAAGGAAGAGCCACUCUAAAUUCCAUUUUAGUUGAAGGAACACAUUUGGGUACUUACUGUGUGUGCCACUGUGUGUCUGGCACAUGCUUUCUCAUGAAAUGAUCUCCCCAGUUCUGUAAUAGGACUUUCAGUUUAGAUCUUUUGAGUUGAAAUGGCAGAAGGUGCUGGACCAUCAAGAUCUAAAGCUGAUCUCAAGAAAAGAUGCUCCCUGCCUCCAAAUCUUUAGCCUCAGGCCACUGGGUGCAUGUGGAAUGGGCCAGCAAAGGGACGGGGUCAAUAGGCUGCUGUUGCCUUGCAACCGAGUCCCCAGGGAGACACAACAGGGUGCUGACCAGAAGCAAAGAACUCACUAUUUUACCCCUUUAACAGGUAAAAAUUACAGGUAAUUAACAGGGUAAAAAUUAACAGGGUAAUUAACAGGGUAAAAAAAAUUAACAGGGUAAAAAUUACAGGCUCAUUGUUUUAAUCUCACAUUCUUUUGUUUGUAACAUCAGAGGCAAGUCUUUCAUAACCUAUUCAUAGACACAUACACAUUUAUGUGAAACAAAUAUUUUGCAAAAGAAUAAUUUUUUAAAAAGUGAUACUUUCAACAGAAAAAAUGUAGAUAUUCAAUGUUCUCCUUCCUCCUAGAGGGUGAACAGCCUCUUUCUAGCGAAGGGCACCCAGCUGGAGAACACUUGUCAUAAUUUGCAAUCAUCAGCAUGUCAUGAAAAGAAACAUAGUCACAAAGCCAAGCCAGGCUGUUUCAAAACCACAGUAGAGAAUUUUUUGGAAUCAGGGGCAUAUGAGUGCAUGGAACUGAGAAACAAAUGCCAGAUCCAAAGUGGAUGCUGAGAUCAUUCCCAAGCAAAGACCACCAUGUAGAGGGCCCUUGUCACCUGCCACAUAUGAAAGAGCUCAAAGAUCAGCUGCUUGGAAAAGAAUGGGAGGAAGACAUGGAGACAGAAGAUGAAUGAUAAGAAGGAAGAAGAAAAGGUGGCAGAGAGAGAAAAAGAAGACAGAGGAAGGCUUACCUCUACAUGAGGGGCUAGACCAUGGAGUGUCCCUUCAACCUCAACUGACCUGUGAUAUGGCUCAUGAUACGGCUUAUUCGUUAUGUUCCAGUUUCCAGGCUAAUUCUGUAAGUACUUUGUUUUAGAGUAAGACUAAGUGAGAAUGUCAUAAUGAAUUAUGCUUUUGGAAUAAUAUGUUUGCAUUUUAACUCAAGUUGUGGCCUUUAAGAGGCAUGAUGAAUAAACUUUCUCACACACAUCUGCACUCACUGACUUUGGUGGCUUAUUGCAUCAUACGCACAUGGCCAGGCCCACUUUAUGAUCUCAGCUCAGGAAUGGCAUGCUAACUUUCUGUGCUCAUGAAAACAAUCAUCAAAAAGUCUGGUUACCUCAAGAUUAAGGUGCUACAAAAUAAUGAGCUAUCAACCUGUGCACAGAAUGGGCCAGCAUCUUGGGAGCAUACAAAAGAGAUCUGGGUUGCAAUUUUUACCAUAGUACAAUUUGCCCAUUUAAACUAGCUCAACGUUCCCCAUUAAUUACUCAUGGACAUUUCAGCUGUUUUGAAAAUUAGUAACAAAGAAACACAGCUUAAGAAAUAAACUACCUAUACAAAAAUAACCUAGGAGGAAAGAGAGAGUCACAUGUGGCAAAUAAACAUUUGUAAUCGGUACUAUAAAUCACAAAACAGAUUAAUUAUCCAGAAACAUACAAAAUCAUCCUCUAAAUUGUUCUCCUAAUGUACCAGCUCUCCACUGACUCAUUACUAAAUUAUUUGCUAGUGAAUGAAUUUUCUUUUCUUCAAACGCUUUUUGAGCUGGGAGAAGUUGUCACAGACAAAAUGCUUUCUGCCAGGGGUGAGGUUAUAUCCCCACAACCCUGAAUCAACUGGUUAUAAAAAUCAAAGAAUUCUGCUGAACCACAAGGAAGUUUUCUCUUGUGGUUAUCGGCCAUUUAUUUUGCCACAUCUUCAUUACCAUUCUGAAAUAAAAUUCACAGAUAAUAUAACCUACUGACAUGUAAUUUAAAUAAACAAACAUUUUCCUUCCUAAUAUAUAGGAAGAAAAAAAGAAAGUCACUUAUUAUAAUAUGCAUUUAAUAUUUGCAUGUUUGGGCUCUAAACUGGAAAUCGUAAUAAAGCAGUCAGAUGAUUUCAUCUGUAACACAAAAACAAAAGCUACAGAUAUUCUCCAAUCCUUGGAGCAACCAAAAUUGCAUCCAUAUAUUUGCUAUACAACUCCUAGAGAGAGGUGAUUUCACUGAGACCCACAAUUUCCACAACACUAAAUGGUUGGUUUGAUAGCCUCUUUUUGAUAUAUAUUUUUUUCAGGCUGAAUUCAUUAUUGGUCUGGCUAGUGGUGUCAUAGCCAUUGAUGAGACCUUGAGACCACACACCCUAAGUUUUUACAUCUCUGUUUUUAUUUUUACUUUUUAGAACUAGCAUCUUGCUCUGUCACCCAGGCUGGAGUUCAGCAGCGUGAUAUGGCUCACUGCAGCUUCAAACUCCUGGCUUCAAGCAAUUCUCCCAUCUCAGCCUCUCAAGUAGCCAGGACUACAGGCAUGUGCCACCAUACUUACCUAAUUUUUUAAAUUUUUAUGGAAAUAGAGUCUCACUUUGUUGCCCAGGCUGGUCUCAAACUCCUGGCCUCAAGCGAUCCUCCGACCUCAGCCUCCCAAAGCGCUGUGAUUACAGACAUAAGCCACUGUGCCUAGCCUCACCUCUGUUUCUAAGUAUAAUUCUCUGAAAGUCCAAUUCUAAUGAAAUAAACAUAGAAACCUGCCAGUCCCACGGCCUGCCUCAUGACUGUACCUUUAGAGAAAAAUGGCAAAAAUUUAAGGAAAAAAACAGCCCACUCCACAGACAUACUGAGAUUUGUCUUUUAGGCAGAAGUUAUAAGGUUUUCUCUACUCCCCUUGAGAUGGGGUGCUGAAACUCCAAAAGACAUUUACCUUGUGAUAUCUGAAUCAGGAGAGCAGCUUGCUUGUGUCCACAAAUGAUCAGUAUCAUUCUUGAGCUUCCACGCUGGAUUCUGUUUCUCACCGGGGAGAAAAGUAAACUUCUCCUUAUCUGGCCUGUGAAAUGGGAACCCGAGGUGGGGGAAUGCCCUCACCUGUUGUGAAAGGGGAUGAGUAAGUUCUCUUUUUUACUGCUUAAUGCUUCUAAGAGAAAGAGGCAUACAUUUAUUCCCUCUGGGUUGUCCUUCUCAAGUUACCCUGGAACAAAAGUCAGUUUGAAUUUCUCUUCUGGUGAAUCACAGAGAUAAAACGAAAACAGUGAAAGCACUUCAAAACGUCAACGGUAUGCUUCCCCCUUAGCUGUAGACCUGUGAUGAGAUAUCAUAAUUGCUAUCAGUAUCAUUGAUGUUUUGCAUUCCUAUACCAUUGUAGAAUUGUCAUUGUACAUUCUAUACACACGAUCCUACUUGAUCCUUUACAGCAAGGGAAAUAAAAAAGUCAGUGUUAUUAACAUCAUUUUAAAGAUGAUGACACUGAGGCUGAGAGAAAAGAAAUUUGUCUAAAUUCCCAUGGUUACCAAGUGGCAGUUCAAAGAGAAGGAUUCAUGUAUUGGGCUAAGAAUACCUUGCUCUUUUUAUUCCACCGCUGAUUUACCAGAAGAUACCCCUUUGCCCCUUGGAUAAUUUGCCCCCUGAAGAGAAUAGAUCAUUUCCGUGAUUGGCCCUCAAGUAGGCAAUGGCUAAAAAUAAUAUCGUAAACCAAGUUCUAUACUUUCGAUAUUGGGAGAACAGGACAAGGACACACAUGGGUAAUGUCAAGACCCAAGUUCACACAAAGCAUAUUUCAAGAGAAUUAGUCACUGUCUCAAAGUGUUGCCUGCGUUAGAAAAAUUAUUGUCUCUAGUUCAAGACCCAAGUUCACACAAAGCAUAUUUCAAGAGAAUUAGUCACUGUCUCAAAGUGUUGCCUGCGUUAGAAAAAUUAUUGUCUCUAGUUUUUAGACUCCACCAUCUUCAACGUAGGAGUUUUACUCCAGGAUAACUCUCCUCAUGGUCACAAGAUGGCUGCCCAAACAGCUCCAGGCUUCCUACGGGGAUGAAACAAGUUCUGGCAAGAAAGAGACAAUCUAUUCCUGAGUUUAAGAGUAAAGUAGAAUUUUCUUCUGGAAAAAUUGUAAGAAGUCCCCCAGCCAGUCACACUAUUUUCAUCGGCCACAGCUAGGCCUUAUGCCCAUCCUUAAAAUAAUUUACUAGCAAGAGGAAUUACUCAAUUGGCUGAAACACAUCAAACUAACCCUUUGGCUGGAGAGAGGGUCCUCUUCACUGAAUGGAGAUAGGAAGAUAUCUGGGGGGGAAAAUGGUGUUUUAUUGAAAAGAAAAGGGCAGGCAUGGUGGCUUACACCCAUAAUCCCAGCACUUUGGGAGGCUGAGGCGGGCGGAUCAUGAGGUCAGGAGUUCGAGACCAGCCUGGCCAAUAUGGUGACACCCCGUCUCUACUAAAAAUGCAAACAUUAGCCGGGUGUGGUGGUGGGUGCUUGUAGUCCCAGCUACUCAGGAGGCUGAGGCAGAAGAAUCACUUGAACGCAGGAGGUGGAGGUUGCAGUCAGCCAAGCUCACGCCACUGCACUCCAGCCUGGGCAACAGAGCCAGACUCUGUCUCAAAAAAAAAAAAGAAAAAGGAAAAUGACACACACACACACAGACACACACACACACACACACACACAACCUCUCUUUCUCUCUGUGCGAAGGGAGAAUGCAAUGUUGUCUACCACAUAAGUUUCUACAACCUACCAAGAAAUUUCCAUUUUCUAAAUUUCCUUCUUUUGAGGAUCCUUCGAGCACUUCAUUCACACUUCGUACCUUCCAGUUAGUGCUGUUUUUUUUUUUUGCUUCUUUCCUAAGCUGCAUUCUCUCCUAGUUUUGUUGUUGGUACAGAACUGUCUGUCUGACUGCCUCUUCUCUGAGGCUGCCAAGCCAUGGGAUUGGGCAAGUUUCUAAGCUUGGCCCUUUAGAAUUGGAUUUUUAGAAAAUCAUACUUAAAAACAGAGAUGAGAAAUCUUAAAGUGUGUGGUCUCAAGGUUUCAUCAAUGGCUGUGACACUACUAGCCAGUCCAAUAAUGAAUCAAGCCAAGAGACAAUAUCAAUAUACAGUGUAUUUAAAAUGUUCACUCAGUUGUGAAUCAUUAUUGAUAACACAUUUUAAAGCCAUUUUUACUGAGUGUUUACCAGGUGCCAGGUGUUGUGCUAAGUGCUCUGCAUGCAUGACUUACAUCACUGUCACAUUUCCCUCAGAGGAAGGUAAUAUUUUCCUCAUUCUUCCUUGACAUAUGAAGAAACUGAGCCUCAGAGAAGUGAAGAGACUUACCUUCUCAAGGUCUCACAGCUAAAAGUGGCGGAACCGGUCCUUGAACCCAUGCUUCCCUGCCUCCACAAUCCACACUCUUAAUCACUAUUUUAUGUUUUCUUCCAGAUGUUCAGAAGCCUAGUGAAUGAGUCGAUGCAAUGAUUGAUCAGCUUCCAUGUUCAGAAUUACUGAUAGCUCUGGCCUUCCUAAUAGCUCAAUGAGUAUGAACAUUAUGAUAUUCUACCCUCACAGAGUUCCUGAGUACUGAGAGUGGGCUGGCCUACAACUUUUAAUAAAACAAGAGUCUUCAGACUCCUAGCCAGUGCGCUCACCUGUAGAUCAUGAAAUGCCUUACUCAGGACAUGAAACACUCCUCCAUCAAGUUCCGGGGUUCUUACCAUCAUCAUCUCAGAACCUCUUCAUACCUCCCUGGUAAAUAUUAGGUAACGAUGUUAACCUUGAUAGGAAGAAGCAAACCUGGUGGGUCACGGUGGCUCAUGCCUGUAAUCCCAGCACUUUGGGAGGCUGAGGCAGGCAUAUUGCUUGAGUCCAGGAGUUCAAGACCAGCCUGGGCAACAUGGUGAAACCCUGUCUCAACAACAACAACAAAAAAAUCGCCUGGCAUGGUGGUACAUGCCUGCAGGCCCAGCUACUUGGGAGACGGAGGUGGGAGGAUCCCUUGAACCCAGGAGGCAGAGGUUGCAGUGAGCCAAGAUCGCACCACUAUACUCCAGCCUGGGUGACAGAGUGAGAUCCUGUCUCAAAACAAAGAAAGAAGCAAACUUGAUAAGGGAGAAGUGUGGUGGUUUUUUUCAUGCCAACAAUAUAAGUUAGAGGUAAUGAAUAGGUACCAUAGCCAUAAAAGGUAUCCAAAUGCCCCCUCCAAACCCUGGUUAUAGAAGCCUUUCUUAUAAUUCCUGCUUGCUUGGCAAAGAGAUCAGUAAAGUAUCUGGUUAUGCUCUGUCCACAGGACAAGAUUGCUGAUGCCACAUCUUUUCCCCAAUCAUUCAAAAGAGCAUCUUUGUCAGCCUGUCAGCCCUACUGAAUCAAAGUGAUGCUGGGGAAAGGACAGAGCAAAGUCAGGAGAGAAAAACCAUAUAUAACAACUGCUCUGAACACGACCUGUAGUCCAAUAACAAAUGUCCUAAUUUCAGAGUGCUAAGGAAACAGUGUCCUCACUGGUGGGUGAAGUUCAGCUUCUCUGCAGGAGGAGGACCCAGCCCCCCUCUCCAACCCUGUUCCAUUCUUCCACUCCUCCUUCCCUCUCUUGGCUCUAGCUAUGUUGACUUCCUUCAAUUCCUGGAAUAUUCCUGGCUCUCUCCCAGUUCUCACCAGGGCAAUGCACAUGGCAUUUCCUCUGUCUGAGAUGUCCUUCCCUACUCUCUUCUAGGCAUUUUCUACUCUUUCCUUUUUCCUUUUCUAUCCUGAAUUCCUAGAAAAGUACCCAGGGUAUAGAAGAUGCUCUGCAGAAAGGAGGAUACUUUUCCUUUCUAAGUAUCUACUAGAUACUUUCCAAAGGGUUAAUCAGCUUUAACAUGGGGUGAUGCCACUGUCCUGGUGUAAAAUGUGUGAUUUGCAGAUGGAGGUUGGUGGGAUCAACCACAAAGUCUGUCAUCAAACGAAACACGAAUGUGUUCACCUCUGGUCACUGGUUCAGGUUCUGGGCAGUCUGUCCCUUUGGCUGGAGGUAGAAGAACACUUUGGUAACUGUUGUGAGUGUGGCGGUGCAAGCUGAAUAAGUUGAUGUCCCCUUGGACUUCUUUUUGAGAUUUCUCCUCUGGUAUUUUUAUGGUACAGGUUUUGGGCAGUUGAAUGAGAGUAUGUAGGGACUGAUCUUAGAAAACCAAUGUAAGUCCAGGCAUAGCGGCUCACACUUGUAAUUCCAGCAGUUUGGGAGGCUGAGGCGAGUGGAUCACUCAAGGUCAGGAGCUCGAGACCAGCCUGGCCAACAUGAUGAAACCCUGUCUCUACUAAAAAUACAAAAAUUAUCUGGGCAUGGUGACAGGCGCCUGUAGUCCCAGCUGCUUAGGAGGCUGAGGCAGGAGAAUUGCUUGAACCCGGGAGGUGGAGGUUGCAGUGAGCCAAGAUCGCACCACUGCACUCCAGCCUGGGUGACAGAGCAACACUCCGUCUCAAAAAAAAAAAAAGAAAAAAAAGAAAGAAAACCAACAUAAAUCAGACUGUUACCUUCUAUCCCUUUUCCCUGUCUAAUAGGGGGAGAAUGCCCCCUCUUAUAACCCAUUUGCUAUACCUCUGCCAGCGAUCUUUCACACAUGCAGCAGCUGAACUGUCACUUCUUCAAAGACAUCUCCUUGACCAUAAAUCUGAAGGAAACAUCCAGCAUUAUAUUCUUCUGAAUGCUGAUCUCCAAGUGAUCUUUCCCUUCCAUUGUUUAUUACCUGUUUCUCCCAAAUAGAACAUAAACUUUUUGAGAACUGGAACCUGACCUGUUAUACCAGUUAAGAUGAGCUUCCUCUGCUGGUCAUGGAAAAUCUAAACUAACAGUGACUUAAGAUCAAAACUUCUUUCUUUCUUGCAUCCAGAGGUAAGCAGUCCAGGGCUGCUAAGGUGGCUCCAAGAUCUCUAAGGGGCUCAGGCUCUCUCUCUCUUUUUUAUUCUCUUUCCUACAAGGCUUUUAUCUCCAGGCCCAGUCAUGGCAUCUCUUUUCCAACCAGGAGGAAGGACGACUAGGUAAAAAGAGGCAAGGCCCUCUGUCCUUUAAAUAUUCUUCUGCUUACAUCUUAUUAGUUUAACCUAGUCACAUGGUCAUGCCUUCUGCAAGGGAGGCUGGGAAAUGUGGCUUAUAUUUCUGCACAGGCCCAGACAAAAAGCAGGGGUUUUAUUAUUGCAGAAGUAGGGGAAAACUGAUACCAGAAAGCAGUUAAUCUCAGAAACUUAUGUUGUAUUUGCUGCUCUAUACCCACUACCUGAUCAAUCUUUGACAUAAAGGACCCCAAAAUAUCUGUUAAAUGAAAAUGACUGAAUGAAUGCCAUUCUUUGGCUUAUAUUCUCUAACCACUCCUAAUGUUUGUCGAAUUAAGACCCAAAUCUUUAAUGCAAAUUACAAAGCCCUGCGUGAUGUGAAUCUUGCCCCCCUCUCCAGCCCUGUUCCAUUCUUCCACUCCUCCUUCCCUCUGUUGGCUCUAGCUAUGUUGACUUCCUUCAAUUCCUGGAAUAUUCCUGGCUCUCUCCCGGUACUCACCAGGGCAAUGCACAUGGCAUUUCCUCUGUCUGAGAUGUCCUUCCCUACUCUCUUCUAGGCAUUUUCUACUCUUUCCUUUUUCCUUUUCUAUCCUGAAUUCCUAGAAAAGUACCCAGGGUAUAGAAGAUGCUCAAUAAUGACCUCUUGACUGACUUAACCUCAACACGUACUUCCUCAGGGAGGGUUUCCUAACUCUGUAGACCGAGUUGAGUUCCAUAUCGUAUAACCCUAUAGCAUCCUGGACUUUUCCUUUGUGAGACUCUGUACUCUUAAGAUUAUUUACUUAGUUAUUUAGAAUUAUUUUUGGGGGAUGUCAGCCAUCCUCACUAGAUGAAGAUUAUGGAGGGGAAGGAUUAUGUAACUGCCAUUCUCUGCUAAAUCCCCAGAACCUAGCAAAGUAUAUGGCACACAGUAGGUGCUUCAUAAGUACCUGUUGUCUAUGAACGAAUGUCUACCUUGUGUAAAACUACUAUAUGACAUCUUGGUGAGUUGAUUCAAACAAGCAUUCCUUGUUUUCAUGGAGUUUAUAAGAGAGACACAUGACCAUAAAUAUACAUUCAGGAAAAGUCUGUACAAUUACAUAUAAUUGAAUUAAACAGGCAUUUCAUGAGUACCUGCUUUGUGCCAAAUAAUUAAAAGUAUUAACCCUCAGGGAGUUUACAGUGUAAUGAGGAGUAUAAAUUGCUAAUCACCCUGCAAUAACUGUUUCCCAUUUUUCUCUUUAAUAGAAUCUCCACCACCAACUCAAGUGUUAGUGAAGAACAUGGCUGCCUUGCUGAGGUCUAGUGUUUCCAACCUCCCUUUUAAUCAGGUAUAAAUAUGUGACCAAAUCUGGCCAAUAGGAUGUGAGCAGAGAUGAUACCUGCAACUUCUAGAUUAUGAUCUUGUGAAGGAAGCUGCUUGCACUCCCCCCAUUAUCCUUUCCUCCCUUCACAGUGGCUGGGAUAUGACAGUAACUCUAGCCAUUUUCUUGUGCCCAGAGAUGGAAGCCACACAUUUAGAAUGGCACAACUACUCUGGACUAUUCAUCCUUGGACUGUUCUAUGAGGGAGAAACAAAAGCCACUAUAUUUUGGGGUCUCUGUUAUUGUAACCUAACUUAUAUCCAAAUAGAGGGGGUAGCCAGGUAUAAUGGCUUACACCUGUAAUCACAGUGCUUUGGGAGGCUGAGGCAGGAGGAUGGCUUGAGGCCAGAAGUUUGAGAUCAGCCUGGGGAACACAGCGAGAUUUUGUCUCUACAAAAAAUAAAAACAACAAAAUAUUAGGGCAUGGUAACACAUGCCUGUAGUCCUACUAAUUCCGGAGGCUGAAGUGAGAGGAUCACUUGACCCCAGGAGUUUGAGGCUGCAGUGAGCUAUGAUUGUGCUGCCGCACUCCAGGUUGGGCAACAGAGAGAGACCCUGCCACUGAGAAAAACAAAAACAAAAAAAUAAAUAGAGGAGGCAAGCAAACACAAUAGAGUACUUUAAGUACAGUAACAAUGGAAUUGUAGAGGUAGAGCCUAAUCUUACCAAGACAGUGGUGUUUAAAGAUGAAAAUUGGGCACAAUCUAAAUUUCCUCUAGGUCACCCAGAAAGCACAGUGAUAGUCAAUGUUUCUCAUGGCCCUUAAAUGAUUCUUCCACUUAUUCCUGCAGAACGUUGAGGAAGUCAUAACUGCCUCCUAAGCAAGGUAUCUGAUGUUUCUGUGUUGGCAAAAACCCUGGUAUUAUUCACUCGUUCUUCCUCUGUGUUUUACCUUCCCACCUGGCUAAAUUUCAUUCACUGCCUGUUUAUGGGCAAAGCAUUAGGGGUCUCAACUGAGUAUGCUUGAAGUCAGUUAAGACAGAUGGGCAUAUAAUGGUCCUCCCGCAGAAGUGGCCUAGAAGACUGAGUGCUUCACUCUGUGUGUGAAGAGUGAGACAUGGAAAGCUUCAAAAAAAAGGAGCGUUGCAGGAUUUCACAUGAAAGGGGAAAAUGAGUUGUUCAUAUCUAUAACACGGCAUGAGAUUGAAGAUUUUUAGCUUGCUGGAUUUACUAAGGCUCCUAUGUGAUCCCAUCCUGGAUGACCUUGUAUAUGCCAUCACUCAUGGGAUCCUUUUCAGAAGUCAUGAUAAAUUUCAGUAACCAAGGUUAUGGGAGCACUGGCACUAAAAGGUUCCAUGUAUUUAUGAUGUGUAACAUGCUGUGACAUGGGUGUUGUCAAAAGCACUGGACAGGAAUAUUGCAUAUUGCCUAUAAUAACCACUUACAAGAAAAACCUUUAUAAAUUUCUGGUUUGUCAAGCAAGUAGACUUUAUUGCAAAUAACAAAUUCAUUUCUGUAAUAACAAUUUUGUUAAACCCUCAUGGAAAUUGAAUUAUAAUGUAGGUAAUUAUGAGAGAAUGAGCUGUUUGGAAAAACGUAGCACAUCCCUGUCUUUGAAGGAAACAAAACAUCACCUAACUGAUAGAUGUUUUAAUUUCUCACUUCAGCACAUCCAUUUGCUUAUAAUGAGGGUUACUGCCAGUAAAUUCACGCCCUGCUUCAAAUCUGCUCUGGUGCAUGUUUCAUCUUAAAAUAGAACCCCACAGUCUAUAAAUCCUUAUACUUUUUUCUUGAUAACUCUUAAAGUUGUGGUCAGAAUUAAGUAAGUCAGUAAUGUGAACUACCUGUAUCAAUAAUCCAGUUAGGAAAGAUCAUUUAUCCUCCCUGUAGAUUAUCUGCAAAAAUGGCCUCCCACAAUUCCAUUCAUCUUUAACACACAUGCCAUCUUUCCCACCAAGAGGUGUAGUCUAUUUCUCCAGCCCUUAAGCCUAGGCUGGACUCAUGACUCUCUUUGAUCAAUAAAAUGGAGCAGAAGGGAUGUUAUGUGACAUCUAUUAAUAUUUCUGGGCCUAUACCUUAAGAGACGUGGCAGGUUCUGCAUUUGGCCUCCUGGGAUCCAGCCUUCAUGUCAAGAAGCUUGGGCUAGAUUAUUGAAUGAUUAAAGAACAUAUGGAGAGACGGAGAGGGUCAGCGAGGCCCUAGCAGUUCCAUCUAUGCCAGCCGAAGCCCCAGGCAUGUGAGCAAAGCCAUCUUGCAUCCUCCAGCUCUAGUCAAGGUCUCCCCACUCCUCUUUUCCACCCCCAGCUCACCUCCCCUGCCAACAGCACAUAGGGGCAGAGAUGAGCCUCCCAUGCCAAGCCACCCAUCCCAAGCCCUGGCCAACUUGCAGAAUUGUGAACAACUAAGUGGUGGUUUUUUUUUUGACACGGAGUUUCGCUCUGUCACCCAGGCAGGAAUGCAGUGGUGCGGUCUCAGCUCACUGCAACCUCCACCUCCCAGGUUCAAGUGAUUCUCCUGCCUCAGUCUCCUGAGUAGCUGGGAUCACAGGCGCCCUCCACCACACCCGGCUAAUUUUUUUUUUUUUUUUUUUUUGUAUUUUUAGUAGAGAUGGGGUUUCACUGUGUUAGCCAGGAUGGUCUCGAUCUCCUGACCUCAUGAUCCGCCCGCCUUGGCCUCCCAAAAUGCUGGGAUUACAGGUGUGAGCUACCAUGCCCGGCCAAGUGAUUGUAAUUUUUUUAAGCCUCUAAGUUGUGGGGCGGUUUGUUAUAUAGCCAUGGGUAACUAAAAAAGAUGAAGAAACUGAAUCACAAAAGGCCACUGGCUUAGCUAGCCAAGUAGCAAAGUUAGGAUUUGAACCCAGGCAACCCAGCAGCAGAAACCACACCUUUAACCACCAUUCUAUGUUGACUGCUUAGAUAUAAACAAAGAACAGCACAGAAUGAGAAGGCAGAUCAAAACCACAGUCUAAAUGGUGGGUACAAAUAAAGCAAGGGAAAAGAACAGUAAACAAAACAAAAAAAGAUCAGUACAGAGAUCUGAGGUAAUGGUGUCAAGAAAAGUGCACAGGAACCAUCAUGAUUUCCAACAUGUAUUUUUGCCCUUUAACUGCUGCCUAAGUCAGGAUACAUGCCUACCUUGAUCUUCAUGCGCAUAUUCUGUCUUUUAUGUGUCUCUUAGGAAAGGCAGCAGUUCAGAGUUUGAACUGCAUGAUGGGGCUUAAGAUUUGAGAUACCUAAUACCUAGCUGGCAUUAGGUAUCGCAAAUCUUAAGCCACCUUAUCUUAGCUGGGUGCUCUCCUCACAUCACUUAACAUCUCUGAACCUCAGUCCAUCCGUCUGUAAAGUGGACACAAUACUUUGAUCUAACUUCUAAAUUGUUAUAAGGAUUAAAUCUAACGAUAUACUCAUGGUUUAAUCUCAAUAAAUGGAAACUAUUACUUUGAUGAAAACUGUCUGGCCCAGAGACCUUCCUCCUUACAUUUUUGGCAUUAUAUUUUGACUUGGUUUCACAUCUUCUACAUUAUAUCUCUAAAUCCAUGUGCCAUGACAAUCACCAGAUAUCUGCCAUCCUCCAACACUGCUGUAGGCUAAUCCUGAGGCACAGACUGCUAAACUGCCAUACCUGUUUGGCCUACAGGUUCAGGAAACUCUAUUUUAAGCCCCUGACUGAUGGCCAAAUAUGAAACCCCCUUUCCAACCCAGGAAUCUCAUUUUGCAUUUCUUGCCAUGUUAAACAGUAAAUAAAUUACCUCCUGAUCAAGCCAAAAGCACUUUCAAAAGGUCCUUCCCUUUUCUUUCUUCUCUUCACAUCAAUCUUUGUUGCUAGCCAGGUCAUUUUUUUAAUGACAUCUAAGCUCUCUGCUCCCAUGGGCAUCUGAUAGUCUGCUUUCUCUUAGCCUGUUAUGCCCCAGUCCUCCCUCUCUUUUCCCAUUAUCUUAAAUUCCCAGACUACUAGAGUGAUACCAACAAGCUGAUAACUCACUUGCCUGCCAGACCCCUUCCAAGCACUCAUUAAUUCAGUUGGGUCGAGUGUAACAUGCCUUCCCCCCGAUGCAAUUCCAUUCCCUCAAUUUUCAUUUUCCAGGCAAGGUGCCUGCAUCGUGGAAUGGCCAUGAUGAAUUAGUUUUUACCUUAAUUUAUUCCAGCAUGCAUAAAGAAAGCAUGAGGAUUCCAAUUUCCUUGAUUAAUGUACCAUUCCACUCCACAAGAGCCUUCAUUUUUAGCUCCUAAUCACUCUCAGAAACGUGUGAUAUUCUUAGCUACCACAUUCAACCUAGGAAUGCUAUUAUUUCCCCAGGUUCCCUCAAACUCAACUUGGAGCCUCACCUUCUAAGCUGGGAUGUCUUGAAAACCAUCCUUCACCUUAAGUUCCAUGAUAAAUUUAGCAUCUUUGCCCCCUUCUUGGGAUAUCAUGAAAAACAUACAUUUAGAAGAAAUAUAGAACACACUUUAAGAGAAUCUGGCCCUAUCCAGUGCAAAAUACCUCACUUUUACAGCAGGGAGAAACAAUUCCUACAGCAUAAAGAAUCAGUGGCUUCUACCAAAAUAAUGGUAGCAUUUCCAGAGGGUUUCCAUAGAAAUAGAAAGGAUAUUUUACUCAGAAAAGGGGAAUAAAGGCCAAUGACAUGUGUUCACUCUCUGAAAACGUGAAAAACAACAGAUGAAAAGACAAAUCAAAGGUCUCCUCACCAACCUCUCUUUCUUAAAUAGAUGAGAGAGAUGGAGGCCCACAUUGAGCUAACCCAACCCUGACAGCUACUGGAGAGUAACAGGGAGAUUAGAUGAAAGUGUCAGGAAAAAAAAUACAAAGGUGAUAUUUUUGUUUCAAAGCCCAUUUUCCAUAUUUUUAUCACAAAGUAUAUACAAAUUAUAGGGUAGGUCAGGAGACUGGGAAAGGCUUUCUUUGUUCACUAAAUAUCAGAGUCUAUCAAAAAUGUGAGCUCCUUCCUUUCUUAGGGAUCUGGCACAUUGAAAGUAGAAGGAGCAAAAAGGGAGAGCCGGAUAGGGACAGGAACCUGGUGAUAAAUGAGCUGCACCAUCAGUCUAGUUGAAGUCAACCCUUUUUUUAAAGAAGAUUAAUACUUGAGAUGCUCCCCUCAUGAGAAUGCUUAUGUCUGCCUCUAUCCCUUUCUCCUGGCCUGGCCACAUGCAAUCACCUCCCUUCACACAUGACACUUGAUGCUUUGGGAACAUCGUUCAUAUUAGUCCUCUUUUUUGAUUCGCCACAUGCCCCUUGAAAUCCUAUUUGACCUACAUAGUCAGCUCAAAUACAUUCAGUAUCACCACAAAGACCUCUUGGUGUAUUUAGCUGCAAUUUAUUGCUCCUUCAUUGGAAUGCCAUCAUCCUCCUCAUCAUUGAAGCUAUCAUUUAUUGAAUGCGGCUGUUUUUCCCCCUUGUGUUCUAUUAUUCAGCAGACAUUUAGAGGGUAUUAAACAUGUACUGAUUACUACCUGUUUGUUUGUGGAGAGGGAGGAAGGGGUGAGGGAUAAGGAGAAAUAAAACUUCUGCUCUCAAGGAAACAUCUCUCAGAAUGUCAUCAUCAUCGUCAAAUAUUGAAUCGUGACAGUUACGCCAUGGCUGAUUCAUUUCCUACUCGUGUGUGCGCUCGCACAUGGUCUUGCCCUCUUGCAGUCAGGUAAGGCCAUGUGACUAGUUCUGACCAGUGGGCUGUGAGUGGCUGUGACAUCUGUCCCUUCCUAUCUGAAGCACUUAAGAGCUGGGGGGCGAAUAAUGAUCCCCCUUCUCCCAAGCUCUCUCUUGCUUUCCUUAAAGCACUGCGGUAAAGUGGCUUUAAUGCAUGUCACAAGUUUGAGGUGACCUAGAUGACUGGUAAGUCAGUGAAUGGGUAGUAGUUGCCCUGGGGAGUCACCUGGCUCACAGCAGAUUUUGUGUUGAUGAGAAAUAAACUUCUGUGGUAUUGAGCACCUGUGUUUUGGGAAGAUUUGUUAGUGCAGCAUGGCCUAUCCAAACCAACACGUAACUCAAAGACAGGUUCCCCUACUAUCCACAUCUCUAAAUGAGAAAACUCACACAUGGAGUGUAAAGCCAUUUGUACAGGUAGAAACAGAAGGAUUCUCCUGUUUCCAUUAUCAACUCUGCCCUCCUGAAUGGAUUGAUGUCUUUAUCACUCAGGUGGGUUAAUUAUCUCAGGAUUGGGCUCCUUAUAAAAGAAUCAACCUGAUUUUCUUUCUCUGUCUGGUGUGCUGAUUUGUCCUUCCAUCUUCCACCAUGAGAUGACCCAGAUGCCAGCACCGUGCUCUUGGACUUCCCAGCAUCCAGAACUGAAAAAGAACAGCACAAGACCUGAGUCAAUGAGCCCAGGAGCCCUACUGGAAGACUAAGGCACAGAGGACAGAAGGAAGGACACACACUGCCACUCAUUGCAAGACCACGGAAUAAGAGAUAUUUAGAAGAAUUACUGCCAGACUUUCUCGAUAUCAGUGGCAGGGUGUAUUUGAGCUUUCAAGCCUGUGGACACUGGGAAGGUGAGGACACAACAAGGUGCCAUCUUGAAAGGAAAAUGCAAACCUUCACCACACACUGAAUCUGCUGGUGCCUUGAUCUUGGACCUCCCGGGCUCCAGAACUGACAAGAAUGACAGCCACGUCAUCUGGAGAAGGCAGCCAGGGAAGCAGUCAAGAGAAAACACUUCUGUGGGUGACUUGAAGAAGCUGGUUACCAUAUGGUUGUUGGCCAAGCUUUGCUGGCUUUUUUGCAGCUUUCUGUUCCAGCAAGUUACUCCCCCAAAUCCUACCUAUUUUAAAAGCAACUCUCACAGGAAGAAAGGCUUGGCAGCCAACAGAUGACCACCACAUUCUCUCCCCCAAGACGUCUGAUUUCAGAAGAAAUUCAAGAAUGAAUAUUUACUGCCUAUAUCUGAUAGAAGAAUCCCAUUUCUCAUGAGAAAAUCAAUGGAUAAUACUCAGCGUUUCUUCAAAACCAAAACUUCCUUUAUCAAAACCUGUAGAACACAGGUUUCAGCAAACUUCGUUAAAUAUUCAGAUCAAAUUUGGAUUUGUUAUUGAUUUUCAGGGGGAUUAAUCUCUUUUAUAUUAAAAGCUCAUUUGGUCACAA